rnacentral:lncRNA from 1 species
AAUAUUUUCUUCUUUUAUGUCUCGCUCACUGGGGCAAACCAUCUUUUUCAAAAUUUUGAAAAGCAUGCCAUCAAAAAGAAUUUUGUUCAAUCCCAAUCCCACAUUGUCUGUAGAAGUAUUUACUUUUGACUGUACACUUUGUUAUUUUACAAUCCCUCCCCAGUUCUGCAACCAUUUCUCUACUUUCUAUGCACUUGGCUUGCUAGAAACUAAAGAAAACACAUUGCUCUACUUGCCUGCCUUCACUCUUCAGAUUGCUCAACAAAUCCCUUGAGACCUUCUCCAUAGUUAACACAUCACAUAAUGGCUAAUCUCAAAAAUUUAGCCAUAAACAUUGAACACCUUAAGCAAUCAACGUCCCUUCCUUCACAAUAUGCAUCACCCAUAAAUCUUUCUUUUGGGAUGUCGCCGGGAGUUUAAUCUCCGAGUGUAAAAAUUAUGUAUAAAUUUCCAUUCUUUCUUUCCAUCCAUUACUUGUCCUCUAUGAAGAUUCUAUGUAUGGAAUCUCGGAAUCUUUUCGAGCAUAACUUGGGAUCAACAGCUGAGAUCAUAGACGUGGGAUUAAUUGACAAAAUUUAUUUUUAACCAUCAAUAUUGAAUAAUGGCUUAUUUUAUAAUAUAAAUUAUGUUUGAAAUAAAAUUGAUAAAAUUAAAAGACAUGAAACACAAUUAAUGACGACAUAGUAUAUUUUGAGACUAAAUUGAGGUUUUUCAAUUACCUUUAAACAUAUCUUGGUUUUAAUAGUGGACGGUACAUCCUUUGGAUUUAUUAGAAAAAACAUGCAAUGUAAAUUUAAAAAAUAUAUAUAUUUAGUUUUCAAAUACACAUAGUAAUAAAAAAUUAGAUGAUAGUAAAAAGAAAAUAAAAAUUAGUCUGAAUAAUUGGUAUCAGUUUCUAUUAUGAUAUAUCUAGCGAAGAAGUUCAAAGAAUAGAAUGAAGUAAAAUAUUCUUAAUAAAAAAGAAAAAAAACCACAGAAAAAAAUAAAAUAUGUUUUUAAUAAAUAUGAAAGAUGGAUAAAAUUAGAGAACAAGAAAGAGAAAUAGAAUCUCUUUGUAAGAACUUCUAAAAAUUUAAUUAUAAUUUAGUAUUUCUUCCUUAUAAUUAUUCAACGCUAGGUUUUAAUAUAUAAUUAAAGAGUCUCUCUCCUGAACCAGAUAAUAAAAAGAUUGUAUAACUCUUUUGUAUGAAUUGUAAAUCCAGGGACUGUUUUGGUCCCUGACUUCGUUGAUUUGAUUUGAAUAUAUUAUUUAUAAAUUAGAUAAGAUUCAAACUAAGGGGAUUAAAGUGUAAAAUAAAGAAAAACACCCUUGGCAAUCUAAAAUAAUUGAAGUAAUGAAUGCAUGAAGCAAGAUAAUUAGUGGUUGAAUACAGAUUAUAACUAAUUAUUUGUUCUGAUGAACAUUACCAAAUACAAAAAAAAAUGUUUCUAAAAUAAUAAGAUAUGAAUUAACUAUAGGCGGCAAAUAAUUAAAAGAGAUAUAAAUUUUGUGAUGAGUUAUGGUUAAUGCAGAAGCAAAUAAAAGAGGAACAGAAAUGAUAGGCAAAUAUUGUUUCUGGGGUAGUGUUUGUCACUGCGGUUAGAAAAUGUUUUUAAAUUUUUUUUAUUUUUUUUAUUUUAAAUUAAUAUAUUUUUAAUAUUUUUAAAUCAUUUUAAUAUGCUGAUGUUAAAAAUAAUUUUUAUAAAAUAAAAAAAUAUUAUUUUAAUAUAUUUUCAAAUAAAAAACACUUUAAAAAACAAUCACUCCAAACUUUUAAACACUUAAUUAAAACCCAACCUUACAGCUUCUCUCUCCAUAUAUCGUCUUCUUCUGCUUUUGUCAUGGCAUCAACUCAUCGAGUACAGGUAGAGAUACUUGAGGUCUGUCAAGUCAUCUCGUCCUUGAACUCACUUGACCCAGCCACCGAGUUAUCUUUUCUGCUCAUCCUUUUUCCUACAAACUCACCAAGGCAACACCAGAUUAUUUUAACUAAGUGAUCCUUCCAGGUAGCCCCAGGCCACAUUAAUUCUGUUUUUUUUAAAACAAACUCGGCUUAGUUAUUAAUAACAUGUUGCAUCCACAGUCUUACCACUAUAUUAUAAUUAUUUAGGAGGAUAGUUGAACCAUACUUUUUAAAAAAAUUAAUUUUUUUUUUAUACUUUUUAAACAUGUUAUUAUAUUCAUUUCUAAUUUAAUUUUUAUCAUCCAUUUCAUCGUUUUAUUUAUUUAAUAACUAAAUUUUUAAGUGAAAGCAUAUAGUCUUACGAUAAAAAGCAUUUUUUUGAAAUAAAAUAAUAUUAAAUUAACCAUGCUCAACAUUGUUCAAAUUAUUAAUUAAUUAUAAUUAACUCGAGGCCUUUAGAAGAAACAAAAUGGAAAGACAAAAUUAUCUUCCCCACAACCAUAGUUGGGAUUUUUAAAAAAUUAAUUUUAUUUUUAAUUUUUUAAAAAUAAACAACCAAUAAUAAUAUAGUUGGGAUUUUUAAAAAAUUAAGAUGAUUAAAAAAUCGUAUAAAAAGCAAUUUGAAACCAAUUAAUGUUAAAAACAAAAAAAACAAAAUGAAACAUGCCAUGAAAACAAGAGGGUCUUAUUGAAUUAUUAUUUGCUAGGUAACUAUAUAAUAUAAUCUGUUGAUGUGGAAAAUAACACUAAGUUUUUGGCAUGGCAUUGGUGAGAAGCAAAAGCCAUAGGACCAUCACCAUCCUAUGGCUUUGCCGUGCUAUUUGGUUCAAAGGGACGCAAAAAGACAUUCCAAGUGCGCAGUGUUUAUUGUCAUAAAGUUUUUCAAACUUCCAAUAUUGAGAGAGAAAUUAAAAAAAAAAAAAAAAACCAAAAGGAAAAAACCCCCACCCCAUCUUUCUUGUUCCCUUUUCCUUCUUUACAUGGCUUACUCAAUGAAAAAGCAAGCACUAAUGCACCUUCUCCACAAGCUACCCCCUAUUUGGCCACUAUAUAAAUAUAUUAUGGAAAGCAAGAUAAAAAGAAAUCUUUGAUGACUUGCAUUAUCAAUGCAAAAUCUAUUUAUAUAAUUGCUAAAUCUAUAAAGAUAAAUCGAAAAUAACUAGUAAAAUCAGUGACUUGCAUUAUCAAGCUUGACGAAUUUUAAGCUUAAUCUAUUGUAUUAUCUUUGAUGAUCACUUCACAUGCAUCUCUUGCUUGUAUUUGCAAGAGAGUGGAUACCUUCUGCAAUUGCUCAUCGCUAAUUGAUUGUUCCUUCUGCUCUCUCAUUAUUAAGCUUAAACUGUUGUAUCAUCUUAUCUUCCACAAUAAGGAUAUAAUUAAUCAAUCGGACCGACCAUUAUGUUAAGGAUAAGAGAUUGUUGGCACCUCUUUUUUCCUGUUGACAACUCAUGAUUUAUUUAUAGCAGUUAAGGAUAUAAUUAAUCGGACCCACCAUUAUAUAUGUUCCACAUUAAAGAUAUAAUCCAAUGUUUCAUAAUGAUCAUCUUGAAGUUGUUUUUUUCCGCCUUAAUGUUCAGCAUUUUUUAUUUUAUGAUCAGAUAUUAUUUGGAUGUGAUAAUAUAAAAAAUAAUAUUUUAAAAUUUUAAAAAUAAUUUUUAUUAUAUUUUUUUUAUAAAAAAAAUACUUUAAAAAACAGUUAUUAUUACUUACAUGUGAUCUUUCAAUCUUUCAUGAUUGCCUUGUAUUGAUUAAAAGGAAGAAAUAUGAAUACCUCGGCAUUCUGCCACUCAUCAUUUAUCCCUAGGGGAGGCCAGGUAGGUCUGGCCAUUGCUUGCUUCUGUUAAUAAUGAACCUCAUUCAGCUUACGCAUCAACUAUUCAUAACCUAAUUUUAGGUUAUUUUUUAAAAUUUAUUUUUUUUUAAAUAAAAAUAAAAAUAAUUAAAUAAAAAUUGACAGUGCGAAGAAAACAGGUCGGGAAAUAUAACUAUAAUUAUACCCCAUUAUAUCUAAAAAUUAAAAAACAAUGUAAAUUCAAAGUUAAAUUAAAUAAUUAUUGAACGAAUUUGCAUAAAUAUAAAGUCCAAUAACAUAAUUAAAUUUUUAAUAAGUCAAUUUAAUUUAAUCAUAGACCAAAAUGAUUUUUAAUUACGUUUAAGAAUUAAUUUUAAUCCAAUUAAAAGGUUUAAUUAAGUGAAAAGGUUUAAUUAUACUUUAAAGAGGUUAAAUUAACUUUAUUAAAGAUUUAAUUGAUGAAAAAUUGAGUUUAAAAACUCAAUUUAAAUUUAAUUAAAAAGAUUAAUAUUUUAAAUAAUCAAAUUUAAUUUUUAUCAAAUUAAUUAAUUAAAAUCAGGAUGCAAAAUCACAAUAAAUUGAAGUUUAGCUUUUAUCAUUUCAAAAGUUGCAGCCUCAUCUUCACUACUUGUAAAAUUGGGGCAGAUUAUGGACUUAACCGAGCAAUUACCACUCGAAAUUCCUCGCAAUUUAUGAAGGAAAUUUCCGUGUUCUUUCUCUGUAUAUUAUUAGAAAAACUGUCAUUGACUAAUUUAAUUGUAAAGUCUUUGCAAGAAAGCUAAAAGAAUUAGAGUUUUUUAAUUUCUAAAAUUAUAAUUUUAAAUUGUAAAAAGAAUUCAAUUAUUUUUACAAUUCAUCAACAGGUAUAAAAAACAAUUAUACCACUAGCUGUCUUCUCCCAAUGAUCUUUGUAACACUUCCAUUUCCACAUCAUGCAUGAUCAAUUUAUCAGAAUUUUAAUUAGUGGUUGAAUAUAGAUUAUAACUAAUUAUUUGUUCUGAUGAAGAUUACAAAAUUAAAAUGAAAUUACAGCUUCUCUCUCCAUGGUCUUCCUCUGCUUUUGUCAUGGCAUAAAUAAUAGGAAAUAAAUUAACUAUAUAAAUUUAGUGAGGAGUUAUGAUUAACGUAGAAGCAAAUAAAUUAAAAGAGAUAUAAAUUUUAUGAUUAACGCAGAAGCAAAUAAAAGAGGAACAGAAAUUAUAAGCAAAUAUUGUUUUCGGUUUCGACUUUAAAUCAAACCUAUAAAACCUAACCAUUACAUCUUCUCUCUCCAUCGCCUUUUCCUCUGCUUUUGUCAUGGCAUCAACUCAUCGAGUACAGGUAGAGAUACUUGAGGUCUGUCAAGUCAUCCCGUCCUUGAACUCACUUGACCCAGCCACCGAGUUAUCUUUUCCGCUCGUCCUUUUUCCUACACCAAGGCAACACCGGAUUAUUUUAACUCAGUGAUCCUUCCAGGUAGGCCCAGGUCACAUUGAUUAUGUUAAAAAAAAAAAAUCUAAUGUCUUACCAUUAUAUUAUAAUUAUUUAGGAGGAUAGUUGAACAAUACUUUUUUAAAAAAAUUAAUUUUUGACGAGUAAAAUAAUGUGGAACCAAUCGCAAUAAAUAAAGCCAAAAAAGGCAGACGAGUGUGUCUAAUUCAUGACUUGCAUUGACUAAAAAUUACCACUAGAAAUUCCUAGUUUUAUCCUAUAUAAAGAAUACAAAAAAGGCAGACGAGUGUGUUUCGUGGUGCUUUCUCGGCCUGCAAAUGAAUAGAAAGCAUAUCCUUUUAUCCUAUAUAAAGAAUAAUACAAUUAACAAAGCAUAUUUCAAUAUCCUUGCUUUACUCUCCAGCCAUAUGGCCAUUGAUAGAAAGGUGUGUUGAAGCAAAAUCUUUUUUUAUCUGUAGCGACCUCAAUAAUGUUAUCGCGUGGGACCCAGUUGUUGCGACCACCACGAAAUUACCACUCCAAAUUGCUUGUUCUUUCUCUUUCUCCGUAUAUUAUUAGAAAAACUGUCAUUACUAAUUUAAUUGGAACUUAUUUGAGAGAAAGCUAAAAGAAUUAGAUUUUUUUAAUUUAUAAAAAAAUUCAAUUAUUUUUAAAAAUAAAACAUCAACUAUUUACAUAAUAGCUAAAUAAAUCUAUUAAAAUAAAUUGAAAAUAACUAGUAAAAUCAAGCAAAUAAUCCAAAAAUAAUAAGAAAAUAAAUAUAUUUUCUAGAUCUGAUUUGAGUAUUUUUUUAUCUUGAUUGACUGACUUGUUAAGUCUCACUAAGUAUAAAUGAAGUCUGUUUGAUAUUUCUUCAUUUAUUAAUGAAAUAUUACUUCUAUUAUAUAGUUAUUGGGUUUCGAGUUGAUCCAUCGGGUCAAUAGGUAAAUAGUAUAUUCUUUGAAUUUAUUAGAAGAAACGUGUAAUGUAAAUUAUAGAAAAAUAUUUAUUUUUCUGAUAUACAUAAUAAUAAUAAUAAAUUAGAUGGUAGUAACAAAAGAAAAUAGAAAUUAAUUUGAAUAAAUGGUAUGAGUUUCUAUUUUAAUAUAUCCAGGGAAGAAGUUCGAAGAAUAGAAUGAAGUUAAAUAUUUUUAAUAAAAAAAAGAAAGAAAAAAAUAAAAUAUAUUUUUAAUAAAUAUAAAAGAUGGAUAAAAUUAGAGAACAAGAAAGAGAUAUAUAAUCUCUUUGUAAAAACUUCUAAAAUUUUAAUUACAAUUGAGAAUUUCUUCCUUAAAAAUAUCCAAAAAAUUCCUAUUAUUUAUGAAUCAAGACAACAGUAGAAUAACUUUUACAUAUUUUUCAAGUCUACUUAGAAUAAUUAUUUUAAUAUUUUAAAAUUAAAAAAAUACUGUGUAGUUGUUUUGUAUAAAUUCUAAUGUUGAGAACUCUUUUGUGCUUGGUAAAAUAUGAUUUUCAACUUUCGCAGGCGAGCACUAAAGUCCCAAACUUGAAGAAUUUCUCUUCUUUUCCUUUUGUAUUUUCUCAUUUUUUUGGCAUGCGCGCAGCUGCUUCAUGGAAAAAACGUUUCAGAUGCGGAAAAUAAAGAUAAAUGUAGAAAAUAAAAGUGGAAAAAAAAUCCCAAAUAUCGACAAACAUCACAAGAGAAGCUUGAUAUCAACCACAUGCUGCAGUCCACAGUCUUUCCAUUACAUUAUAAUUACUUCUAAAAAAAAAUUAAUUUUUAUUUAAUUAUAUGCCAUCAGCAACUACCUCAAAAUUACCACUCUAAAUUCCAGCUCAAUAUCGAUUAACAUGUGGCUAAAAAAUUUGAUAAUCUCUUAUAGGAAUCUCUUUAUUUAUUAAAUCAUCAAAAUAUCAGAGUAUAUUUCAAAAGACUAUGACUACAGUUUAUAUAUAUAUAUAUAAAAAUAGAAACAACUAAAUAGAAAAAUUAUUAUUUUUUAAAUAAAAAACUAGAAAAGCCUGAUAAUAUUAUUGAAUAAAAAAUAAAAUAGAAAUUUAAUCAAUUAAAAGUUAAAAAAAAUACUGUUUAACUGUUUUGUAUAAAUUCUAAAGUUAAAGAGCCUUUUGUGCUUGGUAAAAUACGUCACACUAAAAUUAAUAAAUAAUAACACAAGAAAGGACCAAAGUUAAUAAAUAAUAGCAUGCACGAAACUUCAUGAUACCCAUGUUUUCCACGUUUUACACUGCUUUAAUAGAUUGUUACAGCAAGAGCACAGAGAGAGGAACGGUUCAAGACAGAACAAUAAAGGAGGGGCUGACGCUCAGUGAGGACAUCCUCCAGCUCAUCUGAUCCAGCUCAAAUGGUUGCAACCACCACGAAAGGAACGCAUUAAUGUUAACGCGUGGACCCAGUUGCUGCACCAGCAUGAAAGUACCACUCCAAAUUCCAGCUCAAAUUGAAUAAUGAUUUAUUUUCUAGCAUAAAUUAUGUUUGAAAUAAAAUUGAUAAAAGACAUAAUUACACAAUUAUUGAUGGGAUCGUAUAUAAAAAUAAUUAAAUUGAGAUUUUUUAAUUAUUUUUAAACAUAUCAUGGUUUUAGGUACAUCAUGUAAAUUAUAAAAAAAAUAUUUAUUUUUCUGAUAUAUAUAUAUAUAUAACAAAUGGUGUGAAAGGGGGAAGUACUAUGAGAGCUUUAUGCCACUUUCUAUCUUUGAUGUAAUGGCUUUGGCAAAAAGAAGCAAACAAAAGUUAGUGUUCGCACUACUUUAGCCGAAGAGUCUUUCAUGGGUGCCUUGGAUUGAUUGAUAGGAAGAAGUCUGCUUUGUUUUUAGAAAGAAGCAGUCUUCAUUGCUUUAAUAAAUUAUUACAAUAAUAGCACUAAGAGAAGAGAAGAAUGAGAGAUGAUCCGAGUUUCAAAACUAUAGUUUAUAUAUAAAAACAACUAAAUAGAAAAAUUAUUAUUUUUUAAAUGAAAAAACCAGAAGAGCUUGAUAAUAUUUAAUAAAAAAAUAAAAAUGAAAAAAUAUGCCUUUUUAAGUACAAACAAAAUUAUAAAGAUUUAAUAAUACUGUAUAAAAAAAUUAAAAAUUCUAACCUAAAUUAAAAAAAAUAAAAAUAACUGAAAAAAUAUUUAUAAAAAUUACGGUAUGUAAAUCUAGGGACUAAAGAUAAUACAACUGCAUUGACCGGAGAUUUCACUUAGAAUUUCUAGUAAAUUAUAAAGGAAAUUUCCUUGUGCUUUCUCAUAUACAUGAAUUUAAAAAUUAUCGUUGCUGGAUUGACUUGCAUUGACUGACUUGCUAAGUAUUUGCUGCUCUUGUGCUCUCUCUUGUAUAUUAUUAGAAAAAUUGUCAUUGACUAAUUGACUUGCAAAAGUAUUUGCAAGAAAGCUAAAGAAUUAGAGUUUUUAAAAUUUUUAAAUUAUUAAAAACAACCAAUUAUUUAAAAAAAAAAUCAAGAAUACAACAUCAACUAUUUAUAUAAUUGCUAAAUAAAUCUAAUAAAAUAAAUCGAAAAUAACUAGUAAAUAAUUCAAAAAUAACUAGAAAAUAAAUAUAUCUCCUCAAUAUGAUUUGAGUAUGUUUUCUAUCUUAAUCGACUGACUUGCUAAGUAUUUGUUAAACAUAAAAAAACUUUACUUUAAAAGUCUAUUUAAUAUUUUUCUUACUUUUAUUAUUUUACUUCAAAGUUUCAAUUUCAUAUUUUUUUACAAUGUAUAUUUUAUUUGAUUAAGGAUAUGUUAAGCAUUGACUCGAAAUUACUACUUGAAAUUCUGGACUGGAAACUAGCUUAAACGCUGGCCACCAACUCUUUUUUGCUCGAUUCAUAGGGAGAGAUCAGGGUAGAAAAUGUGAUUUUUUAUUCAAGAUCGUGGAUAGUACGUUUAAGAUUAUGGAAAUGUGUUUUUUUGUUUACUAGAAGGAUUGGGUCGAAAAGAGGGAAAAAAGUGACAACCUUCCAUAUACGUUUAAGGAAAUCUAGAUUUCUGUAAAUUUUAGGAAAAAACAAUGUCAUUUUUGUUUUUCUUUCAAUAUCAAAAUUUUUUCUUUCCCUAAAUUAUGAUAUAAAAACUCUCAAACUUAAUUUUUACGUAUAAUAUUUAAUUAUUGGUCUAAUUUCAAUACUAACUAUAUAUUUUAUUAUUAUUAUUUGUGUAUUUUUUUUCUGAUUAUUUCUAACCACUUAAAAAAUUAAAAAAAAUAUCAAAAUAAUAAAAUAAUUAAAAUGAACUAAAUUUACUGAAAAUAUUUUUUUAUAAAAAAAUGAAGGGUAAAAAAAUUAAAUUAUGACAUAUAUCAUUAAUUAUUGAGAUUCUUAUAACAAACACGGAACUUCAUGUCACUUGAUGAUACCCAUAUUUUCAACGUUUUACACUGCUUUAAUAAAUUGUUACAAUAAUAGCACAGAGAGAAGAAUGGUUCAAGAGAAAACAAUAAUGGAAGGGAAUCAAAAUCUUUGUUUGAUUUUCUGUUGUGUUUUUGGUACAUUGGUCAACAAUAGCUUGGAAGAGUUUGGUAGCAGUAAGUAACCUUUUCGACCUCAAUAAUGUUAACGCGUGGACCCAGUUGUUGUGGAAACUUUGCAGAGGAAGAAAAAUGAUUGCAUUGCUAAUAAUUUGCAAGAGAGAAUUCUUUCUCUGAAUAUAUAGAAAAAACUAUUAUUUUUAAAAUAAAAACAACUAUAUAGAAAAAUUAUUAUUAUUUAGGUAGAAAUGAUUUAAUUAAGGAAGUAUGUUAAAAAAUAAUAUAAAUUAUAUUUUAGAGUUUAUUUUAAUAGUUUAAAUUUUUAGAUGGAUAGUUUUUGGCAUGGCCAUCGGUGAGAAGCAAAAGCAGUAGCAGCCCAUCAGGACGAUCACCAUCCUAUCGCCGACAUUCCAAGUGUGAAAGUGUAUUAUUGUCAUAAAGUUUUUCAAACUUCCACUAUAGAGAGAUAAAUAAAUAAAUAAGUAGAAAGCGCAAAAGAAACAAUACGAUAAAUUUAAACUAUACUAAAGGUCAGUUUUUCACUCUGUGUGAAUCUACAGUGAAAGUUUGAUUUUGCACAUGGUAGAUAAAUUUAGGUUUAGGAGUAUAAUUUUUUAUAUAUAUAAUUACACUAAAGAAGAAUAUUAAUCAAAUAACCCUUAAAAAAUUCCUUUUAAUUUAUGGUUUAUUUUUUUUAUCUAAUUUAAAGUGAAUUUUAUACCUGAUAAUAUUUUAUCUAAUUUUAUUACACGCUAAAAAAAUUAUGAAAACUGUAGUUCUUGUCGGAUGUAUUUCGUACGUAAUGGAAUUGUAGAUGGUUUCAUGGAAUAAUAAAAAAUAUUUUAUAUAAAGUAUAAUUUAUUUCAUGAUGUAAUAGCAAUAGUUAAAUUCAUAAUAUUUAAAUUAAAAAUCAUCAAUAUUAAUAUAUAUUUUUUAAAAUUAUUUUAUAACCUCAAUUUUAAAAACAUUAUUAACCAAACACAUUAAAUUACUUUUUCUUCAGCCUCAAUUUCAACCAUAAUUUUAACCAAACACCUAUUUUUUCAAACCAACUUCAACUAAAAGUACUUUUUAUAAAACAAUUUUUUUCAAAUCAUAACCACAACAGCUACCGCAAUACCAAACACACUCUUAAUCAACUUAAAUUUGAGUGUACCUUCCGAGUAAGACAAACCCUGUAUUUUAAAAUACUAUUGCCAAAAGAUCCCCUUAUAUAUGGAUCAAGACAACAGUAUCACUCCCAUUUUAGUAAUAGAAUAAGUUUUACAUAAUUUUCAAGUUUAGUAGAAUAGUAGUGGAUUAAUUUUUUUAAUAUUUAAAAAUAAAAAAAUACUGUGGAGCUGUUGGUAUAAAUUCUAAAGUUAAGGACUCCUUUGUGCUUGGUAAAAUACGUCAAUUUAAAGUUAAUAAAUAAUAGCAUGCACGAAACUUCACGAUACCCAUGUUUUACACUGUUUUAGAGUAUGUUUGGUAUUGCGGUAGCUGUUGUGGUUGUGAUUUGAAAAAAAUUAUUUUAUAAAAAGUACUUUUAGUUGUGGUUCGUUUGAAAAAAUAGGUGUUUGGUUAAAACCGUGGUUGAAAUUGAGGUUGAAGAAAAAGUAGUUUAAUGUGUUUGAUUAAGAAUGUUUUUGAAAUUGAGGUUAUAAAAUAAUUUAAAAAUAUAUAUAUUAAUAUUGAUGGUUUUUAAUUUAAAUAUUAUGGAUUUAACUAUUGUGGUAACAUCAUGAAAUAAAUCAUACUUUAUAUAUAAAAAAAUUUAUUGUUCUAUUAAACUAUCUACAAUUCCAUUACGUACAAAAUUCAUCCGACAAGAACUACAGUUUUCAUAAUUUUUUAGCGUGUAAUAAAAUUAGAUAAAAUAUUAUCAUGUAUAAAAUUCACUCCAAACUAGUUUUUUUUUAAAAAAAAAUGUUAAAAAAAUUAACAAAAAAAAAACUUAACACACUAAAAAAAAAAAGAAAAAGAAAAAGAAAAAGAAAAAAGAGUCCACGCAGUGCAAGUGAACAGUGCAAGAGAAUUGCACCGUUCACUAUUUUUAAGUGAACAGUGCAUCACUUGCACUGUUCAAUGAACAGUGCAAUUAACGUGAACAGUGAAAAAAGUAAGAAAUGACUGCUUUUCCUUUCCUGCGUUGCUAACGCAGAAAUUAAGUGGGGCCCAGUAAACAGUAAAUCAAUUUUUUUCUUAACCAAAUAGCUGCGAACUGCAUUUUAAAUAAAACGCAGCCGCAGUCGCAGAGCCAAACAGGCUUAAUAGAUUGUUACAGUAAAAGCAAAGAGACAAGAACGGUUCAAGACAGAACAAUAAUGGAGGAACGCAAAAAGACAUUCCCUUUCUUGUCACUAAAGAGUAGCAAAAGUAGUAGUGAUGUUUUUUUCAACUUGCAUGUCUGUUAUGACUAUUUAUUAUGGGCUAUGCAUGACAUGGUCAGGGCAGCCUCUAAAAUCAUCCGAUCAGUCAAUUAUGCCAAGCGAUAGGCCUAGCUGAAGAGAAAUUUGUUGCCCAAACCUUGACUAACCUAGCAUGUCUAAGAGGAGACUUUGACUCCAAAACUAGCAAGUAAAUUUCCUCGUCUUUUGUUUAAUUUUUCUCAAGAUGAAGAAAUGGCUGGAUUAAUUUUCAUAUACGAAAAUCAAAAUUUUCUUAAUGGGAUCUUAAGAAAAUUUCUUUUCUUGUCCAAAUCAAGCCUCGAGAAAGCAUGUGCAAUUUAUAUAAGAAGCAAAUUCUAUUUCUUGACUUGUAUUUGCCUUUUGGAAUUUUCUGUACAAAUUUCUUGCCAGGAGUUGGAGAUAAUUCAAUGAACUUCCCCAAAUUUUGAAUUCCCCUCCUGUUCUGCGGUGGUAUCAUAGGACUUCAUUGCACUAUUCUGUGCAUGGAUACUUUGGAAAACAAAGGCUCUUAGCUGAAACCAAAGAACACUCUCUGGCACAUUCCAUUCACUAUACCAGUAAAUAGACAGAUAGAAAUGAAAAUGUUGAUGGAAAAUAUUUUAUUAAUAAUUUCAGAUAAAAAUAACAAUAAAAAAUUUCAAAUCUCUUAAAAUUCUGACCACAAUAGCAACAAAAUAGAAAAAAAUAAAACGGAUCAGAUUGCUUUUGAUGCAUACUGUUUCAUUCUUUUUCUCACUUCUUCGACGUAUUUUCAAGAAGAUGGAAAUUCUUGAUCUUAGUUAGAAACAAAUUGGUUUUUCAAGAAGAGAUUAUUAGUUGGGAUAUUGCAUUUGAGUUGGUUCUUCACCAUUUAAUGUUAUAAUUUAAGAUAAUUGAUGAAAACUAUUGAUAUAUACAGGAAAGUUCAGAAAGCAUCUUUAAUUGAUUUGAUAAGGAAAGUCUUGUUUGUUUUGGCUAUAAGAUUUUUCUAUGUAUUAUUGCAUGCUUUUUACUGCUUUUUGGCCUUUCAUUCGAAGGAUAUAAAAAUAAUAAGAACAUUUUUUAUUCAUUAUCAAUGCUUGAUUUUAGCACGAUAAAAUCCAAGGGAUUGAUGGUCUGGUGUUUGUGGUGCUGGUAAAUGUAAGAACGGACCGAGAGAUGAAAUAGGAAAAACCCAUGUCUAUUAGUUGGCACCGGUGAUCAUUAGGCCCUUGCCGCCCACGAAAUCGCUUUAUCCUGUUGUUAAUUUUUUAAUGAAGCGUAUCAAGUGUUUGAUAAAAUUCCUUAACUGGAAAAAAAAAACCUUUUUUUAAUGAAGCGUAUCAAGUGUUUACACUUUACAGUGCUUUAGAAUAAGUUUGGUUUUUAAAAUAUUUUUUAAAAAAAUACAUCUAAUUAAUUUUUUGAUGAUUUAAAAAUAAUAAAAAUAUAUUUUAGAAUAAAAAUAUAUUUUUUUAAAUACUUUUACACCACAAAAACAACUACUUUUCAAGUCUUCCUACCCAUCGUUAAAUCAAACCUAUAAAACCUAACCAUUACAGUUUCUCUCUCCAUCGUCUUCCUCUGCUCUUGUCAUGGCAUCAACUCAUUAAGUACAGGUAAAGAUACUUGAUGUCUGUCAAGCAUAGGUUUUAGAACCGGCUUGAGGGCCUGGUUAAAUAUUUGGGUUUCAAGUUUUUAUCUGGUUAAUUUUUUUAAAAAAAUUAAAAUAAUAUUGUUUUAGUAGAAGAAUAAAAAUUAACAGGUUGUAAUUAGGUUUUUGACCGGAUCUUAUCAAGUUAAUCUGCCGGAUCACACCAGGUUUUUUCUUUCUUUUUUUUUCCAACCCGGCUCAGUUCCAGUUGCAAGUCAGCCGGAUCCUGAAUCAACCUACCAAAUCAGGCCGGGUUUCAAAUCUAUGCUGUCAAGUCACCCCGUCCUUGAACUCACUUGACCCAGCCACCGAGUUAUCUUUUCCGCUCAUCUUUUUUUAUAUCCUGUUCUUGAAAGUCGCUCCAGCUGAACACGCUUAUUCCUCUACAAACUAUUGCAUUUACCAAUACACGCUUGAGAAAUUUCCUUGCUUUUUUUUCCUUGCAUGUGUUACAUUUUUGUCUUUUAUAAUUAUAAUUAUUGCAUUGCUAAUAAUUUGCAAGAAAUAAUAUUCUUUCUCUGAAAAAGGCUUGAAGCAUUAUAGAUAAUCUCUUAUAGGAAUCUCUUUAUUAAAUCAUCAAAAUAUCAGAAAAUAGCGGAAAUGAUAAACUGUGCAGAAUUGAUGCAGUCUUCCUUAAUGCUUUCAACCUUUUACACUGAUUGAGUCCUCUAGAAAACUAUUAGAUGCCAUAAAGCAAGAGAGGAAUAUAUUUUGGAGUGACAUAGAUAUUAUGUUUUAAAAUGAAAUGUAUUUAAAUUUAUUUUUAAAAAUUUAUUUUUAAAAAUUUAUUUUUAAUGUUAACACAUCAAACUAAUCUAAAAAUAUUUAAAAAAUCAUUUAAAAAAAUAAAACAUUCAGCAACCACCAUGAAAUUACCACUCUAAAUUACCACAUAGAUUGUUGCUUGCUCUUUGACAAUUAUUGCAUUUCUAAUAAAACAUACUUUCUCAAUUUCCUUCUUUUUUUUCUUUUUUAACUAUACUCAAUCUGCACCUGCCACGAAAUUACCAAUAAGUAAAUUCCAGCUCAAUAUUUUCCAAUACGCACUUUUGAGAAAUUUCCUUGCUUUUUUCUUUCCUUGUACGUGUUACCUUUUUAUCUUUUAUAAUUAUAAUUAUUGCAUUGCUAAUAAUUUGCAAGAAAUAAUAUUCUUUCUCUGAAAAGGGCUUGAGAAAACCCGAAGCAUAGUAUAUAAUCUCUUAUAGGAAUCUCUUUGUUAAAUCAUCAAAAUAUCAAAGUCUGUUUCCAAAGUUAUGACUACAGUUUAUAUAUAGAAACAACUAAAUAGAAAAAUUAUUAUUUUUUAAAUAGAACAACCAGAAGAGCUUGAUAAUAUUUAAUACAAAAAUAAAAUAGAAAAAUUAUUCCUUUUUAAGUAGAAACAAAAUUAUAAAGAUUUAAUAAUACUGAAUAAAAAAAAUUAAAAUUUCUAAACUAAAUUUAAAAAAAUAACUGAGAAAAUAUUUAUUAUCCCAAUAGUUCUAAUAUUAAAAUCUCAUUUAUCAUAUGUUAGAUCUAUCAAAUAAUAAUAAUUGAACAGUUUUUAGUGAAUUAAGUUCAAUUCAAGAUAACAAAAUAAAGUUUGUUGAGGCUUAUCUUGGAACCGGUAUUAAUUAGUGAGAAUAAGAAAAUCCUAUACAAAUUAUACAAAAUUAAUUAUUAAUUAUCGAUAUUUAUUAUUGAUAAUCAAUAAUGAAUAAUAGCUUAUUUUCUAGUAUAAACUAUGUUUGGAAUGAAAUUGAUAAAAGACAUGAUACACAAUUAAUGAUGGGAUCAUAUAUAUAAAUAAUAAAAUUGAGAUUUUUCAAUUACCUUUAAAUAUAUCAUGGUUUUAAUAGGUGAACGAUACAUUCUUUGAAUUUAUUAGAAGAAAUGUGUAAUGUAAAUUAUAAAAUAAUUUUUUUUUUAUAUACAUAAUAAUAAUAAUAAAUUAGAUGAUAAUAAUAAGAAAAUAGAAAUUAAUUUGAAUAAAUGGUACGAGUUUCUAUUCUAAUAUAUCUAGGGAAGAAGUUUGAAAAAUAGAAUGAAGUUAAAUAUUCUUAAUAAAAAAAAAAGAAAUAAAAUAUCACAGCAUAAAGAGAUGUGGUAAAUCUUAUGUUGGGAGACUGCUCUUCCAAGGAUCCUACGGUUGCGAGCCAUACACGCUUGAGAAAUGGUGUGUUAUCCUUGCGACCAUAAAAUAUCCUUGCGACACAUCUUCCAAGGAUCCUAUGGAUAGCACUUGCGAGCAAUCUUGUUUUUUCAAUGCCGCCAUUCAGCAAGUCCACAUGUCAUGAGUCUACACGGCAUCAAAUUUGCAAAAUCAUAUGGCCCAUUGAUAAAAAGAUGUGUCGAAGCGAAAUCUGUUUUAGGCUUUUAGGUUGAUUUUAUAUGGGUCUCUGACUUGGCUGAUUUUAUUUGAAUAUAUUAUUUGAUUAGUUCAUUUAUAGGUUGACUCUACUAUAUAUUCUGCCUUGCAUUGACAGGAAAUUUCACUAGAAAUUUCAAGUAAUUUACACAGGAAAUUUCCUGCAUGUGUUACAUUUUUAUCUUUUAUAAUUAUAAUUAUUGCAUUGCUAAUAAUUUGCAAGAAAUAAUAUUCUUUCUCUGAAAAGGGCUUGAGAAAACCCUAAGCAUUGUAGAUAAUCUCUUAUAGGAAUCUCUUUAUUAAAUCAUCGAAAUAUCAGAGUAUGUUUCCAAAUACUAUUACUACAAGAAACAACUGAAUAGAAAAAUUAUUCUUUUUUAAAUAAAAAAAAACUAGAAAAGCCUGAUAAUAGUAUUGAAUAAAAAAUAAAAUUGAAAUUUAAUCAACAAUAAUUUCUCAUCUCCAAUAAAAAUUUAGGUUUAUCAUUUGGGUAACACAAACCCUGUAUUUUAAAAUACUAUUGCAAAAAAUUCCUAUUAUAUAUGAAUCAAGAUAACAGUAAAUAACUUUUACCUAUUUUUUCAAGUUUGUACGUAGAAUAGUAGUGGAAUAAUGUUUUUAAUAUUUGAAAAUUUUAAAAAAAAUACUGUGUAACUGUUUUGUAUAAAUUCUAAAGUUAAGGACUCUUUUGUGCUUGGUAAAAUACCUCACAAUAAAAUUAAUAAAUAAUAACACAAGCAAGGACCAAAGUUAAUAAAUAAUAGCAUGCUUUUAUAGAUUGUUACAGUAAAAGCACAGAAAGAAGAACGGUUCAAGACAGAACAAUAAUGGAGGAACGCAAAAAGACAUUCCCUUUCUUGUCAUAAAGUUUUGAAUAGUACUUUUGUGUAUUAUUUUCGUAAAGUUUUUCAAACUUCCAAUAUUUACAUGGCUUACUCGAUGAAAAAGCAAGAGCAAAAGGAAACGCACCCCAUAUUUAUUGUUCCCUUUCCCGUCUUUACAUGGCUUACUCGAUGAAAAAGCAAACACCCCAUUAGUUGUUGCCACCAAAUUCCAGUACACGCUUGAGAAAUUUCCUUGCGUUUUUUUCCCUCUACGUACGCGUUACCUUUUACCUCUUUUAUAAUUUUGAUUAUUGCAUUGCUAAUAAUCUGCAAGAAAGAUGAUGAAAAUUUUUUAGUGAAUUCAAAAUAACAAAAUAAGGUUUGUUGAGGCUUUUCUUGGAACCUCGCUUGGGGUUUAAUUAGCGAGAAUGAAUUCUACAAAGAUAUCGGACUGUGAGUUUGUUUCUAAUGCAAUUCACAAUAAUGACCUUGUGGAUGGACUCUCAGAAUACGUUAGUGAGACAGAAUAUAAUGAGGUUAAUAAUGGGCUUCUACAACUCAUCAUUUAUCCCCAGGGAAGGCCAGGUGGGCCUAGGCCACUGCUUCUGUUAAAAAUAAACUAAAAUAACACUUGUAAGGUGAUACAUAUUCUUGCAAUAAAUAAAGCCAGCAAAGGCAGAUCUGUGUGUCUAUAUAUACAUGAACUGCUGAUUCGAUUUGAACACCCCAUUUCUCCGAUUCAAUAACUUCAGUUGCAAAACUUCUAUCUCCGAUUGCGGCAAUUUCAUAGCUAACUCUUUGUUAUACACAGGUAUAUAAUUUCAUAGCUAACUCUUUGUUAUACAGAGGUAUAUACGGCUAACUCUUCUUUUCUUCUUUCUUGUUUUAAAUAUUUCAUGUCUUUACCAAUAACAAUAAUGUGAAAGCUUUGUAUGUUUCAUGUUUAACUUCAGUUGCUAUUGUCUUAUGCUCUCUCAUUAUUAAGCUUAAAUUGCGAAUUGAUUGUUCCUUCAAUUCUGCAGCUGAAAUGGCAGAGCCAGAGUCUUCUCGUUCUAUACCAGAAUGGACCUAUGAUGUCUUCUUGAGUUUUAGAGGAGAAGACACUCGCAAGACAUUUACAGAUCAUCUAUAUGCUGCCUUAGUCCAAGCAAAAAUCCACACUUUUCGAGAUGAUGAUGAACUUCCUAGAGGAGAAGAAAUCUCCGAUCAUGUCCUCAGGGCUAUUCAAGAAUCAAAGAUAUCCAUAGUUGUCUUCUCAAAAGGAUAUGCUUCUUCUAGAUGGUGUCUCGAUGAACUAGUAGAGAUUCUGAAGUGUAAAAGGAAGAAAACCGGUCAGAUUGUUCUUCCUAUAUUCUAUGACAUUGAUCCUUUAGAUGUGAGAAAACAGACUGGCAGAUUUGCAGAAGCAUUUGUUAAACAUGAAGAGCGUUUUGAAGAGAAGCUGGUGAAGGAGUGGAGAAAAGCUCUUAAGGAGGCAGGAAAUCUAUCUGGAUGGAAUCUCAAUGAUAUGGCAAAUGGGUAUGCCUUUUUUUCUCUAAGAUUCACUUGCACACAUUUAUGGAGUGAUUAUACUUUACAUUUUUCAAUGUGAAACAAUAAAAUACUUAAUUGGCUCGCUAUCAAUGACUUGCUUUUGUCUAUGAGCAGGCCUGAAGCAAAUUUUGUCAAAGAGAUUAUCAAGGAUGUGUUGAAUAAAUUAGGACCCAAGCACUUAUAUGUUCCUGAGCACCUAGUAGGUAUGGAUCGGCUUUCUCGCAAUAUUUUUUACUUUCUAAGUACUGCAAUAGAUGAUGUACAAAUUGUGGGCAUACAUGGGAUGCUAGGAAUAGGAAAGACGACUAUAGCAAAAGUUGUAUUUAAUCAACUCUGCAAUGGAUUCGAGGGAAGCUGUUUUCUUUCGGAUAUAAAUGAAAAAUCAAAACAAUUCAAUGGUCUGGCUCUUUUACAAGAGCAACUUCUUCAUAAUAUUUUAAAACAAGAUGUUGCUAACAUCAAUUGUGUCGAUAGAGGAAAGGUUCUGAUCAAAGAGCGACUUUGUCGCAAAAGAGUUCUUCUUGUUGCUGAUGAUGUGGCUCGUCAGGACCAGCUAAAUGCUUUGAUGGGAGAGCGAAGUUGGUUUGGUCCCGGAAGUAGAGUAAUUAUUACAACAAGAGAUUCAAAUCUUCUUCGUGAAGCAGAUCAAACAAAUCGGAUCGAAGAAUUGGAACCAGAUGAGGCCCUUCAGCUUUUCAGCUGGCAUGCCUUUAAGGACACCAAGCCAGCAAAAGAUUAUAUUGAGCUUUCAAAGAAAGCAGUUGAUUACUGUGGAGGACUUCCUUUUGCUCUUGAGGUUAUAGGAGCUCGUCUGUCCGGGAAAAACAGAGUUACGUGGGAAAGUGAAAUUGACAACUUGAGCAGAAUUCCAAACCAAGACAUUCAAGGAAAGCUUCUAACAAGUUAUCACGCACUUGAUGGUGAACUACAAAGAGCAUUCCUUGAUAUUGCAUGCUUCUUUAUUGGUAAAGAGAAAGAAUACGUCGCAAAACUGCUAGGAGCCCGUUGCGGUUACAAUCCAGAAGUUGUUUUGGAAACUCUCCAUGAAAGGUCUAUGAUUAAAGUAUUGGGAGAGACGGUAACCAUGCAUGAUCUAUUACGAGACAUGGGAAGGGAGGUCGUUCGUGAAUCGUCUCCAAAAGAACCUGGAUAGAGGACCAGAAAUUGGAAUCAAGAGGAUGCAUGGAAUGUGCUUGAGCAGCUGAAGGUAAAAAAAAAUAGUCAUGGAACACUUGACUGAUCAAAGAAAAAAAAUUAUUUAUUUUCUCUUAUUGAGUUCCAUAGUUUAAACUUUCUCGUUACACAUAAUUUUUAGUUUGGUAUAUAUAUUCUACUGUUUUUUAUAAUCUUUAUAUUUAUAUUUUUAAAUAUAAGUACACAUAGCAUCAUUUGAAUCUUUUGAUUGAAAGUAAAAGCUUUAUCUCGUAAAAUCAUCUCUAGAAGGUUUUAUUUGGUCAAUCUUCAAAAACUUAGGGAUUAAAAAAAAAAAACUUCUUACUUGAUUCAAUUUGGAAACCUCAAGGAGAAAAUUGAAACAAGUAUAACCUCACGGGGAGAAGUUGAAUUCUCCCCAAACUCAGGGGUUAAUUAAAAUUAACCUUUAAAUUUCUAUCCAUGCCCAGUUGCCCACGAAAGAGAAGAGGUACAUCCACGUGAAGCUCAUUUUGGGUUUGGGUUAGUUGAAAAUAUCUAGUGGGUGGGCCUUUUUUCUGUUUUUCUGUUUUUUUUUUGUUUUUAUGCACAGAAUACAUGAAAUAAUAAAUUUAAAUCCAACAAAUCCAAUAGAGAUAUAAUAUUGUAUACGAUCAACAUGAAAGAAUUUUACGAAAAGACAUGAAAAUAUCAUAUAUUAUGUGUCUCUGCCAGUCAUAAUUGUAUUGUUUUGUGUAUUAUCAAUUAUCUUUCUUGUAUAGGAAAUAUCAUGUUGGAUUUUGCUGAUGACAAACUUAAUCCUAGAGAUUGCAUCUGCGGUUUUUGACCAGACGGGUUAUGCAUUAAUUGGCAUGGUGUUGGCAUUUGUAGCUUUGCUUCUUGCUGCCGUUGAACUCAUUCACAUGGCUCGAAAGGAAAGAACUAAACGGGUGGGCCUAUUGCCACCUUUUAUUCUCCAUGCAACUAGAAAGCCUGUUGGCUGGUGCUGUCUGGCAAUGUGUUUAUUCGACUGUGGAGUAUAUGUAUACUCGUCAGAAGAAAGAUAAUCCAAUUAAGAUGUGUCUUUUACCUUUCAUUUUCUUAUUAUGCGUGGCGAUUUCCAAAUUAUUAGUCGACAAGAGUUCCGUUGUAAAUAGUUCUUAGCAAUAGUAUUUUCUUUGAACUAGAAGGAAUUUCUAGUAUUGUGUUCUAAGGACUCUUUUUAGUGGGAAUGAGUCAAAGAUUUUGAUUCCUAGAUUUUCUUAUCGAAGACCCAGACUUGUAAUGCAAUUAAGACACUAUAUUUUAGACAGUGAGCAUGAGUUGAUGUGGACAAUCUAGCUAUUAUUGAUAUGCGGUUCAGUAACCUCAAAUAACUAUGAAAGGAAAAAACUGUCAUUCACUGAUUUAAUUGGAAAUUAUUUGCGAGAAAGCUAAAAAGAAUUAGAGUUUUUUAAUUUAUAAAAUUAUAAUUCUAAAUUCUAAAAAAAAUUCAAUUAUUUUUAAAAUUAUUUUAAAAAAUAAAACAUCAACUAUUUAUAUAAUAGCUAAAUAAAUCUAUUAAAAUAAAUUGAAAAUAACUAGUAAAAUCAAGCAAAUAAUUCAAAAAUAAUAAGAAAAUAAAUAUAUUUCCUAGAUCUAAUUUGAGUAUAUUUUUUAUCUUGAUUGACUGACUUGUCAAGUCUUUAUUCCGUAUAAACAAAUUUUAUUCUAAAAGUCUGUUUGAUAUUUCUUCACUUAUCUAUGAAAUAUUACUUCUACUGUACAGAAUAGAAAUAAAAAUUAGAUGAUAAUAUUUAUUCUAAAAGUCUUCGUUAAGGAUAAAUGAACUUUAUUCUAAGAGUUUGUUUGAUAUUUUUUUAUUUAUUAAUGAAAUAUUACUUCUACUGUAUAGUUAUUGGGUUCCGAGUCGAUCCACCGGGUCAAUAGGCGAACAGUAUAUUCUUUGAAUUUAUUAGAAGAAAUGUGUAAUGUAAAUUAUAAAAAAUAUUUAUUUUUCUGAUAUAUAUAAUAAUAAUAAAUUAGAUGAUUGUCACACCCGACAUCGCGGCGACCUUAAAAAUUUAAUUCUUUGGAAAAGAACAGAUUUCUGGCAUCCUAUUCUUUAAUGGGGAUAUUCUUUGUUUAAGGAGUCGCCACCUAGUAUUAUGGUCACUAGGAACCCUAACUGGUCAACAGAGAGUCUACGGUUUGGGACUGGUUACGUAAAAGGGAAGAUAUUAUCACCCCUUAAACGUCCUGCCUGAGGCAGGCUGCACUGCUAGUUUUAUCUUUAAUUGCUAAAUGUUUAUUAGUUUACGAUAUGAUAAUUUACUUAUAAUAUUCCCGACUCUGGCGUCAGUGAAUAUUAAACUACGAAUACUUCCAACUCUGGCGUUGGUCAAUAUCACGUAGCUAUAAAAUAAAUUAGAUUAAUAUUUUUUAUUUUCCCGGCUCUAGCGCCAGUGAAUAAAUAAACAAAAUAAAAUUUGAUUUUUUUACGCAUGCAUAUUUUUUUAUUUUUUUUAGCUAAAUAAAAUAAAGUACAACAAAUAAAAAUAAUAUAAAUUUAAACCGGUAUUUUUAUUCCUGACUCUGGCGUCAGUGAAUAAACCAAUAAAUUUACAUUAUUUUUAUUCAUCUAAAUAAAUUUAAUUUUUUACGCAUGCACAUUUUUUAUUUUUUAGCUAAAUAAAAUAAAGUACAACAAAUAAAAAUAAUAUAAAUUUAAACCGGUGUUUUUUAUUCCUGACUCUGGCGCCAGUGAAUAAACCAAUAAAUUUACGUUAUUUUUAUUCAUCUAAAUAAAUUUAAUUUUUUACGCAUGCACAGUUUUUAUUUUUUAGCUAAAUAAAAUAAAGUACAACAAAUAAAGAUAAUAUAAGUUUAAACCGGUAUUUUUAUUCCUGACUCUGGCGCCAGUGAAUAAACCAAUAAAUUUACAUUAUUUUUAUUCAUCUAAAGAAAAUAAAAUACAACGAAUAAAAAUAAUAUAAAUUUAAACCGGUAUUUUAUUCCUGACUCUGGCGUCAGUGAAUAAACCAAUAAAUUUACAUUAUUCUUAUCCAUACAUGCAUAUUUUUUUAUUUUUUAUUUUUCUGCCUUUUAUUUUUUUAUUUUUUUUAUUAUAUAUUUUUUUAACUGGGCGGGGCCCGGCCCGGCCCAGAAAAAAAAAAAUUGGGGGCUGGGCCCAGCGCAGCCCACAUGGACUGGGCUGGACCCAGCCAGCCCAGCCCGGUCACUGGCCCAAGCCAGUGACCCGGCUGGGUAAAAACUAAAGGCACGCGUGACUUAUUCACGCGUGCCCGAACACUGGUGAAGGUAAUUAAAUUACCUUCACACAGUGUUCUUGCAGCACAUAAUUAUCUUUUGAAAUGAAAAUGCAGAGGAGACGGGGUCAUACCUGCUUCUGGAGACCGAAGAUGCUGCUUCUGGAGACCGAAGAUGUUGCUUCUGGAGACUGAGAUGCUUGCAGCGCUGCUUGAUGAUUUUCGCCUAAUGUUCCUCUGGUUUUCCUUCUGUGAAUACUUAUCUAUGCUUUCCUUCUUGAUUUCUCUGUAACUUCUAAAGCUACAAAGAAGAUUCCGGCUUGUUGUGAGUGUUCUUUGGCUGAAUCCGGGUUUUUUUGUUUGCAGGUUCGGAGACAAUUUCAAGGAUAAUUCUCCUUACCGUGUCCUGCCUUCUUGUCCUCUCCUUCUCUGUGUAUUUGGAUUUGUGCUCUGUUUUCUCUGCCUUUUUCUUUUAACUCUGUUUUUCUGGGUUGAUUUUUUCGGUUCUCUCCCUCCUUUUCUUACUGUGUAUAAUUUCUCUGGUUUUCUUGCUUUUUUUCUUGCUCUCCCUCCUUUUUUUUUCUUUAGGUGUUCUUCUCCCUUUUAUAAACCCAGCCGAUUGCCCCCCAUCAGUCCUGCCUUUGCAGGACUGUUAUCUUCCACGAACGAGAUCGUGGGCGAGAGACGUGGUCCUCGAUUGGAUUGAAUCCGUUGCAGAUUUUCCAGCCUGUUGAAUCGGGAUGGAGAAGACGAACACGACUGUUCUACCCGCAGCGGCGACGUUUCGGCAGCAAUGGAUUUCACCAGCAACGACGCCGUUUCAAGCAGCAAAUGGACAUUUUUAUUUUGAUCCCUGAACUGUUGGAAAUUCGGCAAUUGGACCUUAAAAAAAAUUCCACUUAAUUUUGUCCCUUUGGAUUAAUUUCAAUUAAAUCCUUAAAUUAUAACACUGUUUACAAAACAGUCCUUAAUUCCUGGAUUGUUCAAUUUAGCCCUUAAUUAAAUCUUUAACCUUUCAAAAUUGAUCAAUUAACUCUCAAAUUACAUCCUCAAACUUCAAAUUUUGUUGUUUUAACCCCAUUGGCAACUAUAUUUAAUUUUUUUAUUAUUUGUUCAAAAAUUGGUUAUGACAGUUGCUCCCUCUUUAUAAUAUUUACAAUACAAAGAUAUUGAAAAAUUUCAUUUUUCCUUAGCUUUGUGUAGUAAAUUUAUAAAGAAAAGUAGAUAAAAAAAAAAUCUUGAAAACAGUAGAUUGACAUAUGACUUUUUACGGAGAGAAUAAGUUAUUUGGAAGAUGACUUUUUUUUUUUUUUUUGAAACUGAUCAAAUUAUUUUGGGUAACCUACCUAAUGAUAAAAGAAACGCGAAGAAUUUCGCGAGUGGUCUAAUUGUUCCAGGCGACCUACCCAAUGAUUGAAAAAUACGAGGAUUUUUUUUUUUGUGAUGGUAUAUUGUAAUGGGUUACCGGCCCAGAAUAAAGUGGUUUAUUGUAAAGGGUUACCGGCCCAAAUGGUCACAUUGUAAUGGGUUACCUGCCCAGUGUAGGAUGGUAAAUUGUAAUGGGUUACCAGCCCAGUCUAGGAUGGUAAAUUGUAAUGGGUUACCAGCCCAGUUGGUCACAUUGUAAUGGGUUACCUGCCCAGUUGGUCACAUUGUAAUGGGUUACCAGCCCAGUUGGUCACAUUGUAAUGGGUUACCUGCCCAGUGGAUAAAUACGUGGAUUUUUUUUUAAUAAGAUAUGAUAGGGCUCGAAGACGCACUCCAAAGGAGGUAGGAUAGGAAAUGCACUACCUUUGAUGUUCGAGGGCUCGAAGGCGCCCUCGAAAUGGAGAUAAAACGAGGGCUCGAAGACGCGCUCGAAUGGAGAUAAGAUGAGGGCUCGAAGGCACGCUCGAAUGGAGACAAGACGAGGGCUCAACGGCACGCUCGAAAAAGAACUCAAAAGGAGGUAGGAUAGGAAAUGCACUACCUCAGGAGUGGAAACUGAAAUGUGGUGGAAAAAUAUAGAGAGAGAUUUUUUUAGGUGGCCUAAUUCUCAUGGGCGGCCUGCCUAGGUUGAAAAAUUCUCAAAAGCGAAAAUUUUUCAAAAGCAAUUUCAAUGUUGGCCAUCCACUUGAUGGAUUCCGUUAGAAUUUUCUCUAAUAAAAUUUGCAGCACUCAUUGUCCAAUGUUUCAAAGUUUAAAUGAUAUGCAUGCAUCUUUACCUGACUUGAAAUAUAGGCCCCCCAUUUCUUCUUAAUCUUCUCAUUGUAUGGUUGAUGAGAUCUUGCUAUCUGAUUUGAGUCAUCUUUGUCGUUUGGAUUUCUAGCGCACUCGAGUUAGCCCAUAUAAGACUUUUUCCAGAUUUGUUUGCACAACUCAGCCUUUGUGGUGCCCAUCGUGACCCACAUGCUUGAUGGACUCGUCAAAUAAUUUGAGAGGAUCAUUCAUUACCCCUUGACUCACUGCUAAAAACAUUCGGUGUCACUAGCUGAAAGGAUCAAGCUGUCUUUCAUAAACCAAAAUGCCCCCUUGUCUUGUUGAAGGAAAUUACCAUCUCUUUUUUUUUUAGAAUUUUCCUUCUGAACACAAUAUCCCCUUGUAUUGGUCAUUCCCCCUAAGUGUGCUCUGUCAGCGACUUUAGACAAAUAAUGGUUUUAAGAGACCCUUUUCUCAUUUCUAUCCUUUUUCAGUUUGGUGAAGAAGUAUGGGUCUAGAAUAAAUCUUGAAAUCUUGAUCUUGCAUUUUUGAAAACAAAAAUUAUUUCAAUAUGAGUCUAAAACAAUUUACUUUCAAAAUCUUGCAACUCCUUGGUUAUUUUCUUUCUUGGAAAAGAGAUUAUUUGCUCUUGUGUUUGGCAAUGAGAUCUUCGGUGAAAAAUACGUUAUGAGAUGACCUUUUGUGUCAAAGUGAAGGGCUCGAGAGAAAGCUCGAGAUUUUGUAUGAGAAAAACAUCUCUUUUUAACUUUUAUUUUUAUCAGCAUGAAUAAUAAUGGGUAGUUUAUUCUUGAUGCCAUGAAUUUCAUGAAAAACUAUUCUUUGGAUUUUGAGAGCAUUGUUUAUUGUUCCAGGUUGCUUGCUUGCUUGAUUAGAAAGGACUUCUACAAGCACGUAAUGUAGGCUGUGGUUUUUGGCUAUGAAAGAAAAGGACUCGUAGGGCUCAAAGAGUGUUUCAGGGUUUCAAAGACUGAAGAUCACUAUUAAUAGUUUGACUCUUGACGUCAUUCAUAUUUUCUUUUGCCGCUCUUCUUUGAUUUGCCCUUUUUUCUUCUUUCUUUUUCAUUGCUUUGCUAGAGCCUACUCAUUUUAUCUUGGUUAUCACUUUUUCUUGUGAUUUGGGCAUGCCCCCUAGCACUUGAGUUUCUUGGGCUCUUUUGCCUUUUGGCUUUCUCACGGCUUUAUCAUUUUUCUUGAUCAUUGAAAUUUCACUUGCCCCCAGUGUGGGGUGUGAUCUUAGUCAGGAUUUUUAAUGAAAGAAAAAUUAUUCAGGCUCAAAAAGGGAUCGCAAGGGAUGUACUUAUUUUAGAACGUGAAAGGAAUAACAAAGAUGGCCUUUCCUCAUUUCAAACGUAAGCAACUAUGAUCAAUAAACUUUGACCUCAUCCAGUGUGAUGGUUUAGUCUUUACGAGGAUGCAUUUCAUGAGUUAUGAGCAACAAGUUCACUACAUACCAUUAUUCAUACAUUUAAAAACACAUGAUUCAAGAGUUAUGGGAUAAGGGUAUUUAUUCAUUUUUUUUUUGUUUUUAGAGUUUGGUCACCUCUAUGUAGGAGUUGCUUGAUUCAUUUGUCAUUCUACACGUAGAAUGUCAAAAAUCAUUUUUGAAUAAACAUCAAAUUACUUUUGAAAUCAAAAUACCAGAUCAAUUUUUCAAAACUCAAAUAAGAAAACUGAUUUUGGUAAAAGUAAUGAAUUCAAUCUAUGAGAUCAUGCAAGGCUUCAAGAGUGUAUUUACUGAUUCUUUAAUAUCAAUAACAUUUAUGAGAGAGAAAAGAUAUGCAAAGUGAAUUUCUUGGCAAAACUUUUAUUGAUUUGAUGAGAACUUAUACAAUCAUGGAUAAUAUUUCUUCACAGAAUUGGAAUUCACUGGCCUACUCAAAUCUUCUCCAUCCAUUCCUGUCAGUAUCAACGCCCCUCCAGAGAAUGCCUUCUUUACUACAUAUGGACCUUCAUAAUUAGGUGCCCACUUGCUAUGAUUCUCACUAGGUAGUAAUAGGAUUUUUCUCAAUACAAGAUCUCCUUCUUUAAACUCUCUUGGUCGAACUUUUCUCUCAUAGGCUCUUGCUAUCCUGUUUUGAUACAGUUGGUGGUGACAAAUUGCAGCUAAUCUCUUCUUACUGAUCAUAUUUAGCUGUUCGUAUCGUAUCUCAGCCCAUUUAGCCUCUUCUAGCUCAGAUUCCAUGAGAACCCUUAGAGAAGGAAUCUCUACUUCUAAAGGCAUCACUGCCUCCAUUCCGUAAACUAACGAAUAAGGUGUAGCCCCCGUUGACGUCCUUAUUGCUGUUCGAUAUGCAUGUAGAGCAUAAGGAAGCCAUUCCUGCCAAUCUUUAUAUAUGACCACCAUUUUCUGGACAAUCUUCUUUAUGUUCUUGUUAGCAGCUUCAACAGCACCAUUCAUCUUUGGUCUGUAAGGGGAUGAAUUAGAAUGCUUGAUUUUCCAUUUAGUGCAUAAUUCCAUGAUCAUUUUCCCAUUGAAGUUCUUGGCAUUAUCGGUUACUAUCCUUUCUGGCAAACCAUACCUACAAAUUAGAUCUCUCUCAAUGAAUCGCUUGACCACCUUCUGAGUCACAUGAGCAUAUGAGCAGGCCUCUACCCACUUUGUAAAAUAAUCAAUUGCGACCAAGAUAAACCGAUGACCAUUGCUGGCUUUUGGAUUAAUAGGCCCAAUCACAUCAAUUCCCCACAUCGCGAAUGGCCAAGGUGACACCAUAUUGAAUAAGGGCACUGGGGGUGCAUUGAUUUUGUCACUAUACACCUGACAUUUAUGACAUUUUCGAACAAAUUCUAUACAAUCUUUUUCCAUGGUCAACCAAAAAUACCCAGCUCUUUGCAUCUGUCUUGCCAUCAUGUGCCCAUUUGCAUGGGUGGUGCAAAUUCCUCCAUGCACUUCAUACAAUGCUUUAUUGGCUUCUGAUCUGUCUAGACAUCUUAAUAAAGUCCCAUCAAAUGACCUUUUGUAUAAGAUUUCUCCAUCUAUAAAGUAUUCCAUUGCCAUUCUUCUUAGAGUCUUCUUAUCUGUCUUUGAAGCUUCAGAAGGAUAUUCCCGAUAUUGGAUGAAUCUUUUUAUAUCUGCAUACCAAGGAUUGCCAUCCACUUCUUCUUCUAUUAAACAACAAUGAGCAGGAGAACUUCUAAUAUCAAUGCUUAUAGGAUGUACUCUGAUACCACAAUCGAUCGUAGCCAUAGAGGCCAAGGUUGCUAAAGCAUCCGCAAACUGAUUCUUAUCCCUUCCUAAAUGAUUGAACUCUAUCUUUUCAAAGUUUUCAGCCAAUUUGGAGAGAUAUUCCUGAUAUGGUUUCAAUUUCUCAUCUUUUGUCUGCCAUUCCCCCUUUGUCUGACAGAUUAUUAACAUAGAGUCUCCAUAUACCUCUAAUUUCCCUAUCUUCAGUUCCAAUGCAGCUUCUAAUCCAUGAAUGCAAGCCUCAUAUUCAGCUGUGUUAUUCGUGCAACUAAACUGCAGUUUGAUGGAGAUGGGAUAUUGUUUUCCUUCUGGAGAAAUUAUUACAGCACCAGCUCCAUUACCAGACACAUUCACCGCACCAUCAAAGUACAUAGUCCACCAAUCUCUUUCUAUUACCAACACAUCUUCAUCAGGGAAGUCAAAAUUUAAUGGCUCAUAGUCCUCAAUGGCGUUAUCAGCUAAAUGAUUCGCAAUUGCACUUCCUUUCAUAGAUUUUCUUGUUUUGUAGAUGAUAUCAUAUUCAGCCAACAACACUUGCCAUCUGGCCAGCCUAUUUGACAUAUAUGGCUUUUCAAAAAUAUAUUUCAGAGGAUCUACCUUUGAAAUUAACCAAGUGGUAUAGUAUAACAUAUAUUGUCGGAGUCUUUUCGCACUCCAUACCAAGCCACAACACAGCUUCUCAAUCAUACUGUAACGAGAUUCACAUUCAGUGAAUUUCUUACUAAGGUAGUAGAUGGCUUGCUCCUUUCUCCCGGACUCAUCAUGUUGGCCAAGCACACAGCCCAUUGCUGAUUCAGUCACUGUUAAGUACAAAAUGAGAGGCUUCCCAGGCACAGGUGGUACCAAUAGCGGUGGUUUCUGCAGAUAUUGUUUGAUCUUAUCAAAGGCUUCUUGACAAUCUUCAUCCCAUACUCCGGGGUUUUUCUUUCGAAGUAAUCGAAAGAUUGGUUCACAAGUGACUGUAAGUUGUGAAAUGAAUCGAGCAAUGUAAUUUAAACGCCCCAAAAAGCUUCGAACUUCUUUCUCAGUCUUAGGAGCUGACAUGGCUUGUAUGGCCUUCACUUUAUCAGGGUCUACCUCUAUACCAUUACUGCUUACCACAAAUCCCAAUAACUUCCCAGACUUCACUCCAAAUGUGCAUUUUGCAGGGUUCAACUUUAAUUGAUACUUUCUCAACCUUUCAAAUAAUUUCUUUAGAGCUGGGAUAUGAUUUUCCUCAUCUUUAGACUUAGCAAUCAUAUCAUCCACAUAGACCUCAAUUUCUUUAUGCAUCAUGUCAUGAAAUAGUGUCACCAUUGCUCUUUGAUAAGUUGCUCCAGCAUUUUUUAAUCCGAAUGGCAUAACUCUAUAACAAUAUGUUCCCCACGGAGUAACAAAUGUUGUCUUCUUCUUGUCUUGCUCGGCCAUUUUGAUUUGAUUAUACCCAGAGAAACCAUCCAUAAAAGAGUAAGUAGAACUCUUAGCAGCAUUAUCCACAAGUACAUCUAUGUGGGGUAACGGAAAAUCAUCCUUCGGGCUUGCCCUAUUCAAAUCUCGAAAAUCCACGCAUACCCUGAUUUUGUUGUCUUUCUUGGGUACUACUACAAUAUUGGACACCCAUUGAGAAUAAUCAACAACUUCUAAGAAUCCAGCAUCCCACUGUUUCGUUAUCUCUUCUUUUACUUUGAUUAGCAUAUCAGGCCUCGUCCUCCUCAACUUUUGCUUAAUCGGUUUACAACCCUCUAUCAAAGGUAGUUUAUGUACCACAAUAUCAGUAUCCAGACCAGGCAUAUCGGCAUAUGACCAGGCAAAAACAUCAACAUAUUCUUGUAAAAGAAUGACCAACUCGCUUCUCACACCAGCAGAUAUUAGCUUCCCUAUUUUCAACUCUCUUUUAUUAUGUUUGGUGCCCACAUUUAUCAGUUCUAGUUCUUCUUUAGCAGGCUUCCAUGUGUGAUCAGAUUGUUCCACUAACCUUGCGAACUCAUCGAUGUCUUCCUCACCCAACUCUUCCUCAUCCAUUGCAAUUAUAGUUUCAUCAAAGUUAGGCCAAUUAUCCACAGUGCAUUGAGUUUGUGAGCACAAUCCGCUUUCAGAUCUCCUGAAAGCGGAAAGUGUUUCGGUUAUGAGUGUAUAAUUCUGGGAAAGCAAAUAAAUAAACAAAUAACAAGAAAACAUGUUUGAAAGAAAAUAUGCAUGAUCUCAUUGAAUUUUAAAGGAUAGACGGGCUCAACAACAAAACCUUAUUGCCAAUCUCUUGAGCCACAAUGGUUUUGGCAAGGCACAAUUGUUCAAACAAUACAAUAAAAACAAAGAACAAACAAACAUUACUUUUUAAAAACAACUGGGACUUCAUGAAUUUCCCAAUUUUCCAACUCUUCUCCCUCAGCCAGCUUCCUCACGAAUUCGGAUGAGCCAUCUUCCAAAACACCAAUAGUUAGUUGUGGUAGCUGUUCGUAAGGACUCUCUUCUUCCUUUACAUCUUGCUCACUAACAUUUUCAAGAUAAUUGAUAGUAGCACCACUGAAUUCUUUUCUUAGCCCCUCCUCAUAAUCCUCAGCUUUUAUCACAUACGCGGCUCUUGGAAAUGUUACAUAGAUAGGUGGGAUUUCCAUUCGAUCUUCAUCUGGCUCUCUUCUUUCAAUCCGGGCUACUCUCUUUUCCCUUCUAUUUUCAGCUGCUCUUUUAAAAUCUGCUUUGCCAGGCUUAAACCCUAAGCCAAACCUCUGAUCGGCGCAUUUUAUUUUUACCGCAUUAACCCUCUCAGGCAUUCCAGUAGUUAGGUCAUAUUGAAAUGGUAAUCCAUGCUUCAAGAAGUAUUUAGCAGCCAUUUUUGCUGCUUCAGAAAUUUCUGGCUUUCUUCGUAUCAUAUUUUCAGGUACCCAUUCAGCAUUUACAACUUCAAAUGCAUGCAGAUUUCCAUCCUUACUUUCUUCAGCUUCUAUAUAAGGGAUCGAUACAUUUCUCAUCAUUGACAAAGUUUCUUCAGCUCUCACAGUCACCAAAUUCCCAUUGAUGAUGAACUUGACCCGUUGAUGUAAAGAAGAUGCGACAGCUCGAGCUGCAUGGAUCUAAGGUCUCCCUAGCAAAAUGUUGUAUGAUGGAUGAAUAUCCAUUACUUGUAAUGUGACUUGGAAUGGUUGGGGGCCAAUGACUAGUUCAACAUCAAUACUUCCAAUGAUUGGUCUAGGUGACCCAUCGUAUGCCCUUGCAGUCAUAGUACUUGGCUUCAUGUGAGAGGCAUCAACUGGCAUUUUAUCAAGUACAUGUCUCGGCAAUACAUUGAGAGCGGAACCAUUAUCCAUAAGCACCUUAGCAAUCACACAAUCCUUGCAUUUUACCGUGAUAUGCAAUGGUUUAUUAUGACCGGUCCCUUCAUGAUCCAACUCAUCAUCGGUAAAAUAGAGGUAGUUGGUGGCUUGAAUCCUACCCACCAAAUGUUCUAUGGAGUCUUGUGUGAUAUCCUGAGGAAUAUAUGCUUCAUUAAGAACCUUCUGAAGUGCGUUCCUAUGCAAUUCUGAACUCAAUAUUAAUGACAACAAAGAAAUCCUAGCGGGUGUUUUCUUUAGUUGAUCAACCACACUAUAUUCGCUGUGCUUCAUCAAUUUCAGGAAUUCAUUAGCCUCUUCAUCACUUACUGGCUUGUUAACCUCAUUUGACUUUGUCAAAUCCACCAUAUCCUUUCCUUUGGCUUUUCUUUGGUUUUCCAACUCUUCAGGAGUAAAACAUCUCCCACUCCGAGUGAGUCCUCCUAUUUCCGCAUGGAAAACGGGGGCAGGAUUUGUGCUGUGAAAGGAACAACCAUAAUUAUAGGGUUGGGCAUUAUAGCUUCCGCUAACAGUAUUCAUAGGCUUGGCUAGUAUCAUUUUUGGUGGACCCUUUUCGGUUGGUAUAUAUCUACAAACUUCCACUUUUUGGUUACAACCAGUCAUUGUUCCUACUAACUCAUCUUCUUUGGGUUUCAUCAAUCUUAACAUUCCCAACGUCAUCAUAUUUUCUACCUCCAAAUGAAACUCCUCGCACGAGUCAAUAUCAUGCCCAAGCUGCUGAUGAUAUUUACAAUAUUCAUUUGCAUUCCUUACAGCUUGUGUUUUGACUGGUGUCUUUAGAUAAUUUGUUUGCCUCAACAUCCCAUACAAUCUAUCCAUAGUCACCCUUAAAGUUGUUGUACUUCUCCUUCCUAUCUCCAAGUUAUUAACUCCCCCACUUCCCGAAGCAUGAUUUGGUAGAGGAUUAGAUUUCACAUUUGGAGAUUCAUCAAAAGAAAUCCACCCAGCUUUGAUGAGCUGAAGGAUUUUUCUUUUGAAUGCAACACAUCCAUCAAUAUGAUGACCAACAGCGCCAGGAUGGUAUUCACAUUUUUUAUCGGGUUUAUACCAAAAAGGAAAUGGUGGUUGUAAAGGUUCUAAGGGAACAGGUGCUACCUGGCCAAUACUAAGCAAUCUUUGGUGCAUUUCAGUAAGAGACAUGGGUAAUGGCGGAAGUUGCACUUGCUCUAUUGGAAAACUUCUUCUUGGGCGGUAAGUAGCAUUGGUUUGGUUGUUUAUUGGGUUAUUUUGGGUGUUUGUAGGUGAUGAGAAUUUUAUAUUGGAUAUAGAAGGGGUAGGUGUAAUACUUUUGAAACUGUAAUUAUCUUGGUAGGUGUUCUUCCCUCUACUUUCCCUUUCAACAUUGUGAACUUCCGUUUCUUUCCUUUUUCCAGUAAAACCUCUUUUUUCAGUAGGAUCCACGAUCCUACCUGUCCGAACAGCUUGUUCGAUCCUUUCAGCUAUGACAACCAAAUCAGAGAAAUUUUUUGCAGCACUACCUACCAAGUAUUCAAAGUACGGGGCUUUGAAAGUGUUGGAAAAUAAACCAGUCAUCUCCCUUUCUGACAAUGGAGGAUUUACUUGCGCGGCUGAUUCACGCCACCUUUGGGCAUAUUCUCUUACAGACUCCCUAUUCCCUUUUUCCAUGGCUUGCAGACUUGACCUUUCAGGGGCAAUAUCCAUGUUGAACUUAUAUUGUCUAAUAAAAGCUUCAACCAAAUCCUUCCAUCCUUUAAUCUUGGUAUUAUCUAAGCGCAUAUACCAAGCAAGAGCCGCAUCACUUAAACUGUCUUGAAAGAAAUGGAUCAAUAGCUUCUCAUCAUGGACUACCUCAGCCAUCUUAUUACAAUAUGCUUUAAGAUGGGUGAUCGGGCAUUGAGUUCCAGUAUAUUUAACAAAAUCUGGUACACGGAAUUUUCUGGGAAUAACCACAUUAGGCACCAAACACAUUUCAGCAGCUUUCACCGGAUCAUACAAACUAUUCCCUUCCAUUGCCUUCAUUCUUUCUUCUAAAGCAGCUAGCUUUUCAUGACCAUUUUCCUCCACUAUCUUAUUCCUUUGAGGUUCUUCUUCUGUCAAAACUGCAAUGGGGACCCUCGUUGGAUAUGCUGAUUGGGCAGGUAAGAAAUGAGCAGCAUGCUAAGGUUCAAAUGGCGGAAUAAAAGGAGGCGGAGGCUGAGGUGUAAAUGUUUGUUGAGAAGAUGUUCCUUCUCCAGCUCUAGGCCUCAAAGCCUGUUCAAGCAAGCUGGUAAGCCUUGCUACAUCCUCCUUCAGGCUUUCCAACUCUUUUUGGUGUUGAAUUUCUAACUGAGUUCUCUCUUCAUUUUCCAUUUUCUUCCGUAAACGAGUAUUAUGGAUACGUUUCAGUUGGGGACCUAUAUUUCACCUGUUAUAUGUAGAAUAUGACAAUUUAUAAAACAAAUGUAUGAAAUGCAUGAAUAUGAAUGCAACAUAUUGGAUAUGGAUUUGCUUUUCAUUGGUGACAUAUGGUCGUCAUUCUUUGGAUAUGAGGUUUGAGCUUGAACUUGAUAUCAUCGUUGUGAUGCCGAGAAGAGAUCUGUUUAGCUUUUUGACAUUUCAGCUUCCAGCCAUAUACGCAUAUUUUUGAAUUGAAAAGGUGGGUCUCAGCCCUUUAUUACUUAUUCAGAAGCUUACAAUGAAAAAUUGAUCUAAUCUAUUACAGGAGAAAAAACACUGCCUCUAUUAGCUAUUGCUUUUAAGAAAAGAUCGGUGUUAUCCAAGCUUCUUCGAUACUUUAUUAUAUCACCUCCCACUUGGCGAGCUUCCACUCGUAAUAAAUGGGCUUCUGCAGCUGCUUGACCAACUUGAUCUUGUAGUUCCCUUAUCCUCUCAGUAUGUAUCAAGUUGUUUCUAGACAGAAAGUUAUUGGUGGCAUCCAAUGUUUGAUUAUGUUGUUCUAUCAUUUUCUGGCUUUCCAUAAGCUGUGCAGUCUUUGAUUUUUCUUUGUCCAGCUUAAAUCUCAAUGCUUCCACCUCAGUAUUGUGAUUGUUCCACUCUGCUUUUUGCUCUUCAUGAAUUUUAGUUAAAGCCUCAGCUUUUCCCAAUUGGCCUUUAAACUUAACAAUGUCCGCCCGACGCAUUUUCAAUGUAGCUUGUGUCUUGAUGGCUAAUUCUUCCCAAUGCUUAGCUUUGUCCAUAUAAUACAUCAUAUCCUGAUUAAUUAUUUUUUGUGUUUCCAAGUCAGCCUUUGCCUUUAUCAAGUCUUGACCUACAGAGUCCCUUUCUUCUUCAGCUACUUUCCUUACACCCUUUUCUUUGGCUAGUUGCCGCUCUAAGGACACUCUUUGUUCUUCCUUUGCUUUAAGCUCAGCUUGUAACGAUUUUACUUGUUUUCUUAAUUCUUCUUCACAAUUCACUCUUUUCCUUCGAAGGCCCACAGAUUCAGAAACUUCUGCCGUAUAAGAGACUCCUCUAUUACGCCAUUCAGGAUACUUUUCACUAACUGUAGGAUUCCUUACACCGAUCUCUUUUUUAACUAGCACCAAAGAUCCCCAAUCAUGUUUAAUGCUCUCCAGCAUCUCAUUAUAUGCACCCUUAUAGACUCCGGUGAAUUGAGCUAAGCCAACUGUUCUUGGAAUGCUUUGUAUGCCCCCAAGCUGUCUUGCAACCAAAGCAGACGCAUAACUAAUAUAUCCAGUCACUCCAAUCAAAGGUACCCAAGGCCUCUUCCCACAACCCAUUAGGCAUGUUACAUUUUUCAUCCAAGGAGCUCUCCAAUUAAAAUUGCUUUGUGGAAUUCCUUGCAAUUUUACCCUCCAAUCAUCUUCAGAAAAGUUUUCCCAUUCACUUGAUACAAAUAACUCGAGUGGCUUUUGGUCAAACCACCAAAAAUUUCGGAAUAUUAGUGUUUCAGAUUCUAUAUGGCUUACCAUCCAAAUGAAUAACAAUGGAACACAACAUCUCAUAGAACCUUUCCCAAUCCUUUUGCAAUGAUUGAGAGACAAAAAAGUUUCAGCCAAGAUAGCAGCAGAAGGAUUAAUUUUAGUCUUCUCAUACUCAACAAACAGAUUAGCUGCCUCUAAACUGAUAAUUCCAGCAGUCGAAGGACACAAAAUCAGCCCAAAUAUUCCCAAAGCCAAUAUUCGGUAUACCUCCAAAUUAGCACCAGGAUUAGAUGUUUUAGCAAUCAACAGCUCUUCUAGCCGUUUCCAUCUCAAACCCCCAGAAUUGUUUUUUUCUCUAUAUAAGCUCAUUUGAUGGAUUCCCAGUAGCUUAGCAAGCUCCUAUACAGUAUUCUCAAUCUUUUGAUGAAAAUAAACCUUAUGGAUAUCCUCAGGGAAUUCUGUCAAAACACCGUAUUCUUCAAUGGUAGGAACCAUAUCGACAUUCCCAAAUGUAAAACAUCGAUAAUCAGGAUCCCAAAAAUGAAUUAGGGCUUUUAUGGCUAAUGGCAGUACUGGAACAUUCAGAAGAUGCAAAACUCUCCCAUAUAUCUUAGUAAAUUCUGUCUCAUCAGCCAAGUAUUUGGUGAAUGGAAGCAAACGACUGGCAUCAUUUAUUACGCAUCUCACAUCCUUUAGCAGCGGUAUCCCACUGUCAUCCAGUCUAGGGCAGUCUCCCUCAGUCAUAUGCAAUGAUUCAGAUUCGAGCCCAUACUCAACAGUUGUGAUUUAACGAUUAACGACCAUUAUGUCACCCAAAAACAAUCCUGUAAUGAAGAUGCUAUACGUUAAGCUUGCCUUAGUGAAAUUUACAUAGGGAACAACCUAAAUGGUAGGUUCUAGUCAUUUAAAUGCUUGAGGUAGGUUGCUAUCUAGUCUUGAAAGGUCUUUCGCAUGCUCAGUGAUCUUCCUCGAAAGGUUGAUGUGAGGUUUACAAGUAGCGUGAAAAUAGAGGCCCUGAAUGAUAUCAGUUAGGCAUAUCAACCACUAUCGAGUAAACAAUCAAGCGAAAGUUGGAUGGUUUCACGAGUCUUACCCAGGCUAAAGCCAUUGGGGUACCGCUACUCUCCCACUUAACUUAAAGUUGAUAUAACAGAUGUUUAUUAUGAAAUGCGUGGUGUGUGAAGGCCUAAAUCUAUAUCCAAUAUAUGUAUGAUGACAUAAACAAAUAUGGAUGCUAAAACUAUAAAAAUAAAUAAAAUAAAAUAAACCAAAUAAAAUAAAAACCAAAUAACACAACAAGCAUUUGUAGCAAUUAAAAAAAAUCAAAGGCAAAGCUUAGUCCAUUAGUCCCCAGUGGAGUCGCCAUUCUGUCACACCCGACAUCGCGGCGACCUUAAAAAUUUAAUUCUUUGGAAAAGAACAGAUUUCUGGCAUCCUAUUCUUUAAUGGGGAUAUUCUUUGUUUAAGGAGUCGCCACCUAGUAUUAUGGUCACUAGGAACCCUAACUGGUCAACAGAGAGUCUACGGUUCGGGAUUGGUUACGUAAAAGGGAAGAUAUUAUCACCCCUUAAACGUCCUGCCUGAGGCAGGCUGCACUGCUAGUUUUAUCUUUAAUUGCUAAAUGUUUAUUAGUUUACGAUAUGAUAAUUUACUUAUAAUAUUCCCGACUCUGGCGUCAGUGAAUAUUAAACUACGGAUACUUCCAACUCUGGCGUUGGUCAAUAUCACGUAGCUAUAAAAUAAAUUAGAUUAAUAUUUUUUAUUUUCCCGGCUCUAGCGCCAGUGAAUAAAUAAACAAAAUAAAAUUUGAUUUUUUUACGCAUGCAUAUUUUUUUAUUUUUUUUUAGCUAAAUAAAAUAAAGUACAACAAAUAAAAAUAAUAUAAAUUUAAACCGGUAUUUUUAUUCCUGACUCUGGCGUCAGUGAAUAAACCAAUAAAUUUACAUUAUUUUUAUUCAUCUAAAUAAAUUUAAUUUUUUACGCAUGCACAUUUUUUAUUUUUUAGCUAAAUAAAAUAAAGUACAACAAAUAAAAAUAAUAUAAAUUUAAACCGGUGUUUUUUAUUCCUGACUCUGGCGCCAGUGAAUAAACCAAUAAAUUUACGUUAUUUUUAUUCAUCUAAAUAAAUUUAAUUUUUUACGCAUGCACAUUUUUUAUUUUUUAGCUAAAUAAAAUAAAGUACAACAAAUAAAGAUAAUAUAAGUUUAAACCGGUAUUUUUAUUCCUGACUCUGGCGCCAGUGAAUAAACCAAUAAAUUUACAUUAUUUUUAUUCAUCUAAAGAAAAUAAAAUACAAUGAAUAAAAAUAAUAUAAAUUUAAACCGGUAUUUUAUUCCUGACUCUGGCGUCAGUGAAUAAACCAAUAAAUUUACAUUAUUUUUAUCCAUACAUGCAUAUUUUUUUAUUUUUUAUUUUUUAUUUUUCUGCCUUUUAUUUUUUUAUUUUUUUUAUUAUAUAUAUUUUUUAACUGGGCUGGGCCCGGCCCGGCCCAGCAAAAAAAGAAAAAAAUUGGGGGCUGGGCCCAGCGCAGCCCACAUGGACUGGGCUGGACCCAGCCAGCCCAGCCCGGUCACUGGCCCAAGCCAGUGACCCGGCUGGGUAAAAACUAAAGGCACGCGUGACUUAUUCACGCGUGCCCGAACACUGGUGAAGGUAAUUAAAUUACCUUCACACAGUGUUCUUGCAGCACAUAAUUAUCUUUUGAAAUGAAAAUGCAGAGGAGACGGGGUCAUACCUGCUUCUGGAGACCGAAGAUGCUGCUUCUGGAGACCGAAGAUGUUGCUUCUGGAGACUGAGAUGCUUGCAGCGCUGCUUGAUGAUUUUCGCCUAAUGUUCCUCUGGUUUUCCUUCUGUGAAUACUUAUCUAUGCUUUCCUUCUUGAUUUCUCUGUAACUUCUAAAGCUACAAAGAAGAUUCCGGCUUGUUGUGAGUGUUCUUUGGCUGAAUCCGGGUUUUUUUGUUUGCAGGUUCGGAGACAAUUUCAAGGAUAAUUCUCCUUACCGUGUCCUGCCUUCUUGUCCUCUCCUUCUCUGUGUAUUUGGAUUUGUUCUCUGUUUUCUCUGCCUUUUUCUUUUAACUCUGUUUUUCUGGGUUGAUUUUUUCGGUUCUCUCCCUCCUUUUCUUACUGUGUAUAAUUUCUCUGGUUUUCUUGCUCUCCCUCCUUUUUUUUUCUUUAGGUGUUCUUCUCCCUUUUAUAAACCCAGCCGAUUGCCCCCCAUCAGUCCUGCCUUUGCAGGACUGUUAUCUUCCACGAACGAGAUCGUGGGCGAGAGACGUGGUCCUCGAUUGGAUUGAAUCCGUUGCAGAUUUUCCAGCCUGUUGAAUCGGGAUGGAGAAGACGAACACGACUGUUCUACCCGCAGCGGCGACGUUUCGGCAGCAAUGGAUUUCACCAGCAACGACGCCGUUUCAAGCAACAAAUGGACAUUUUUAUUUUGAUCCCUGAACUGUUGGAAAUUCGGCAAUUGGACCUUAAAAAAAAUUCCACUUAAUUUUGUCCCUUUGGAUUAAUUUCAAUUAAAUCCUUAAAUUAUAACACUGUUUACAAAACAGUCCUUAAUUCCUGGAUUGUUCAAUUUAGCCCUUAAUUAAAUCUUUAACCUUUCAAAAUUGAUCAAUUAACUCUCAAAUUACAUCCUCAAACUUUAAAUUUUGUUGUUUUAACCCCAUUGGCAACUAUAUUUAAUUUUUUUAUUAUUUGUUCAAAAAUUGGUUAUGACAAUGAUAGUAACAAGAAAAUAAAAAUUAAUUUGAAUAAAUGGUAGGAGUUUCUAUUCUGAUAUAUCCAGGGAAGAAGUUCGAAGAAUAGAAUGAAGAUAAAAAAAGAAAAAAUUUGUGUUACAUUUUUAUCUUUUAUAAUUAUAAUUAUUGCAUUGCUAAUAAUUUGCACGAAAAAAUAUUCUUUCUCUGAAAAGGGCUUGAGAGAACCCUAAGCAUAUAUAGGAAUCUCUUAUAGGAAUCUCUUUAUUAAAUCAUCAAAAUAUGAAAGUCUAUUUCCAAAUACUAUUACUACAGUUUAUAUAUAUAUAUAUAUAUAUAUAUAUAUAUAUAGAAACAACUAAAUAGAAAAAUUAUUAUUAUUUAAAUAAAAAACUAGAAAAGCCUGAUAAUAUUAUUGAAUGAAAAAUAAAAUAGAAAUUUAAUAAAUUAAAAGUUAAAAAAUACUGUGUGACUGUUUUGUAUAAAUUCUAAAGUUAAGGAGUCUUUUAUGCUUGGUAAAAUACGUCACAAUAAAGUUAAUAAAUAAGAACACAAGAAAGGAUCAAAGUUAAUAAAUAAUAGCAUGCACGAAACUUCAUGAUAUCCAUGUUUUUCACGUUUUAUACUGCUUUAAUAGAUUGUUACAGCAAGAGAAACGGUACAAGACAGAACAAUAAAGGAGGGGCUGACGUUCAGUGAGGACAUCCUCCAGCUCAUCAGAUCCAGCUCAAGUUGUUGCAACCACCGCGAAAGGAACGCAUUGAUGUUAACGCGUGGACCCAGUCGCUGCAACCAGCACGAAAGUACCACUCCAAAUUCCAGCUCAUUUGUUAUAUAUAUAGUAAUAACAAAUGGUUAGAAUGCUUUAGUCCUUUUCGAGUGGAAAGUGGUGUGAAUGUGGGAAGUACUGUGAGAGCUUUAUGCCACUUUCUAUCUUUGAUGUGAUGGCUUUGGCAAGAAGAAACAAAUAAAAGUUAGUGUUCGCACUGCUUUAGCCCAAGAGUCUUUCAUCGUCGUUGCCUUGGAUUGAUUGAUUGAUUGACAGGAAGAAUUCUGAAUGUUUUUAGAAAAGUCUUCAUUGACAGGAAGAAUUGUGAACGGAAUGAGAUUUUAUUUUGUUUUGUUUUUUAAAUUAACAUGGAAUAUUUCAGUUAUUUCAGGUGAAACGAAACAAAAUUAACAACCUUGAUAAAAACUCUAAAUCACGAGUAAAAUCUGAAUGUUUUUUUAUAGAAAGAAGCAAUCUUCAUUGCUUUAAUAAAUUGUCACAAUAAUAGCACUAAGAGAAGAAUGGGUAGACCCUCGAGCCGGGCCAAAUUUUAAAAUUAUAGUUUAUAUAUAGAAACAACUAAAUAUAUAAAUUAUUAUUUUUUAAAUGAAAAAACCAGAAGAGCUUGAUAAUAUUUAAUAAAAAAAAUAAAAAUGAAAAAAUAUUCCUUUUCAAGUACAAACAAAAUUAUAAAUAUUUAAUAAUACUGUAUAAAAAAUUAAAAAUUCUAACCUAAAUUUUAAAAAAAUUGUCAUUGGCUAAUUGACUAAUUGACUUGUGCUAUCUCUUGUACAUUAUUAGAAAAAUUGUCAUUGACUAAUUGACUUGCAAAAGUAUUUGCAAGAAAGCUAAAGAAUUAGAGUUUUUAACAUUUUUAAAUUUUUAAAAACAUCCAAUUAUUUUUUUAAAAAAUCAAGAAUAAAACAUCAACUAUUUAUAUAAUUGCUAAAUAAAUCUAAUAAAAUAAAUCAGAAAUAACUAGUAAAUAAUCCAAAAAUAACUAGAAAAUAAAUAUAUCUCCUCAAUAUGAUUUGAGUAUGUUUUCUAUCUUAAUUGACUGACUUGCUAAGUAUUUGUUAAGCAUAAACGAACUUUACUCUAAAAGUAUGUUUAAUAUUUUUCUUACUUUUACUAUUUUACUUCAAAGUUUCAAUUUCAUAUUUUUUUACAAUGUACAUGUUAUUUGAUUAGUCUGAUCAUAGGAUAUGUUAAGCAUUGACUCGAAAUUAGCACUUGAAAUUAUGGACUGGAAACUAGCUUAAAUGCUGGCCACCAACCCUUUUUUGCUCGUUCUAUAGGGAGAGUAGAAAAUGUGAUUUCUUAUUCAAGAUCGUGGAUAGUACGCUCAAGAUUAUGGGAAGGUGUUUUUUGUUUACUAGGAGGAUUGGGUCGAAAAGAGGAGAAAAAGUGGCAGCCUUCCAUAUACAUUUAAGGAAACCCAGAUUUUUGUAGAUUUUAGAGACAAAACGAUGUCAUUUUCAUUUUUCUUUCAAUAUCAAAAUUUUUUCUUCCCUUUUCCAGGCAAAACGCACCAUUUCAAUUAGUGUGAAAAGGCAUCAUUUUGCUUUAGGUUUUCUUCAUAUGUAAUAAUGCUAAACACACCAUGUGGAACUAUGUUAAACGCAACAUUUUAGCAUCUUUUGUGCUUCGAUCCCUAGAAUUUUAAUUCUUUUAUUUUGAUCAAUUUUCAACUCUUUUCCUUUAAUUUCAUUUAAUUUGCUAUUAACUGAAUUACAAUAUGACCUUUAAUUUCUUUAUUUUUUUCAUUUCAGUCACUGAUUCUUUCAAUCUUCAUUUUUAAGCCAAAUGAAUUGCAGUUUCAAUUUUCUUUUUUAAUUAAAUCUCUAAUUGAUUUUUUAAAUUGGUUAUUCAUUUCAAACUCAUUCUUGAACUGCUAAUAAUUUUAAUAGAUGUAUGGUACAUCCUAUGAAUUUAUUAGAAAGAAUGUUUAAUGUAAAGUAUGAACCACUUGCCAUUAACUAGCUUUUUCAAUUGGAUCUUUUAUUUAAAUGAAAAGGAAUAUUUAUUUUAAUAUGAAGAAAAUAAUUAUUUUUUUUGAUAUAUCUAGUGAUAAUAAAUUAGAGGAUAGUAACAAGAAAAUAGGGAUUAGAUCGAAUAAAUGGUACCAAUUUGUAUUAUGAUAUAUCUAGUAAUAAUAAAUUAGAGGAUAGUAACAAGAAAAUAUGAAUUAGAUCGAAUAAAUGGUACCAAUUUCUAUUCUGAUAAAUCUAGCCAAAGAGUAGAAUGAAUUAAAAUAUUCUUAAUAAAAAAGAAAAACAGAAAACACAGAAAGAAAAAAAAAAUGCUCUUAAUAAAUAUUAAAGAUAGGUGAAAUUAGAGAACAAGAAAGAGAUAUAGAAUCUCUUUCUUAAGAUUUCUAAAAACUUAAUUACAAUUACAUUAUAAUUUCUUCCUUAAAAUUAUUCAAAAUAUAGUAUUGUAAUUACAUAAUGCUAGGUUUUAAUAUAUAAGUUUUUAUAUUGUUGAAGAGUCUCUCCUAAAACAAAUAAUAAAAAUAUUGUUAUGAACUGUUUUGAAUGAAUUGUUAAUGCACGGACUAUUUUGGGUCCUGACUUGGCUGAUUUAACUUGAAUGUAUUAUUUGAUUGGUCCAAGUAAAGAUCAACUCGAAAUUUCUAUUAAUUUAUGUCGCACCCGACAUCGCGACGGCCUUAAAAAAAAAAAUCAGGUAUAUUGCGGAAAAAGAACAGAUUUCUGGCAUCUUGUUCUUUUAGGAAAAAUGUCUUGUUUAAGGAGUCGCCACCUAGUAUUAUGGUCACUAGGAACCCUAACUGGUCAACAGAGAUUCUAUGGUACGGGACUGGUUACGUAAAAGGGAAGAUAUUAUCACCCCUUAAACGUUCUGCCUAAGGCAGACUGCAUUGCUGGUUUUGUCUUAAAUUGCUAAACAUUUAUUCGCUUAUGCUAUGAUGAUUUGUUUAUAAUAUUCCUGACUCUGGCGCCAGUGAAUAUUCGAUCGCGAAUAAUUCCAACUCUGGCGUUGGUAAAAAUUCCACCCGAAUAAUUCCAACUCUGGCGUUGGUAAAAAUUCUACUACAAAUAAUUCCAACUCUGGCGUUGGUAAAAAUUCAUAGCCACCAAAAAUAAAUUCAGAUUAAUAUUUUUUUAUUCCUGACUCUAACGCUAGUGAAUAAACAAAUAAACUAAAUUUAUGCAUUCACAUAUUUUUUUAUUUUUUAUGUAGUUAAAUAAAAAAAACAAAGAGAAUAAUUAAAUAAGUAUUUUUAUUUUUGACUCUGAAGUCAGUAAAUAAAAAUAAAUUUAUUUUUCAUACAUGCACGUAUAUUUUUUUGCUAAAUAAAAAAAAUAUACGAAUAAAAAUAAUAUAAACUUAAACUAAUAUUUUAUUCCCGACUCUGGCGUGGGUGAAUAAACUAGUAAAUUUAUAUUAUUUUUAUUCAUGCACACACAUAUUUUUUUAUUUUUUUAUUUUUUAUUUUCUUAUUUUUUUUAUAUAUAUAUAUUUGUUUUUUGCUGGGCCUAGCUCAGCCCACAUGGGCUGGGCCCAGCCCAGCCCAGCCCAGCCCAGUCACUGGCCCAAGCCAGUGACCCGGCUGGGUAACAUGAAGCACGCGUGAACUAAAUCACGCGUGCAUUAGCAGAUAAAGGAAUUAAUUGAGAGUGUACAGUAGGAAGUGAAUUAAAAUGAAAAACGGUGAAAGGUGAAAGAGAAACUUACUUACCUGGCUCUGGAUACAACGAAGGCAGCAGCAACAAUGGUUCUGGUCACGGUGGCUUUCCUCUGCUUAUGUUCGUCCCCUGUUUAUUGGCUUGUUCGUCCCCUGUUCUUGUUUCCAGUCGCUCUCCUUUUGUUUCCUUGCUCUCGUUCUCUGUCUUCUGCGUUUGUUUUUCUUCUGUGUUUCCCUGGUUCUCUUUUUGUUCACCUUAUCUUCUCUGCUUUUCCUUUUUUUUUCGUCUGUGUCUGUCCCUUCUCUCUCGGUCUGUUUUUUCUUUUUUUUUCUCUUGCUCUCACAUGCUCUGUCUUUCUCUGUUUUUUUCUGUUCUUGGCUCUGUUUUGGGUUGAUUUUUCUUGUGCAGGGAUGAAGAUGAUGGCGGGGUUGAUCUCUGAUUCCUUUCUGCCUUUCUCCCCUUCUCCCUGGGUAUUUCUUUUUGUGUUUGUGCUCUGUUUUGCUCUGCUUGUUUCCUCACUGAUUUCCGGUUCUUGCUUUUUCCAAUCUUCCCCCUCGUUUUAGUCCAAUUCAUCCCCUGUUUCCAGUGUUCUUUUUCCUGCGUUUUGCUCGGUUCCCCUCCUCCGGUUUGUUCGGUUCUUUGUCCAGCCCCGUUGUUCCCCUGUUUCCUGAGUUUUUCUAUGGGUUCUGCUCCAGUUAUCCCCCCUCUGUUCGUCCCCUUGCCUCUGCUCUGCUCUGCCUUUUAUAGAGCCCGAGCACGCAGAAAAAACCCGUUCCUCUGUUCAUCAAUCCAUGAGCGGGAUCAUGGGCAAGAAAUCAUGGUGUCGUGGUCCACGAUUUGCUGCAAAUUUCCUGUUAAAACGGCUUUUUCCGCUCAAACGUGGGAGACGAUGAACAAUGCUUCCAAAACGGUGCCGUUGUGUCCUUGGGCAUGGCUUUUUUUAAUUUAGUCCCUAAACAGUUUAAACUUAACAAUUGGGAUCCUAAUCAGAAACAAUUGAUUUCUAAUUGUGCCCUUGGAUUAAAUUUAAUUGAAUCCUUGAGUUAUAACGCCAUUUACACAACAGUCCUAGAUGUUUGGACUAUUCAAUUUGGUCCUUGGACUUUAAUUUUCUAGCAAUUUUUCCUUGAAUCAGCUCUAAACUUUGAUAUUCUUUCAAUUACACCCCUGAUUCCUUUAAUUAAUUAAAUCAAAGUUUAAUUAAGUCCUUAAACUCAUUAAUUCUUCAAUUAAACUCUUGAUUUCAUUAAUUAAAAUAAUCUGAAUUUUAAUUAAAUCAAUUCUCCAAUUAAACCCUUGAUUUAAUUAAUUAAAAAGAGUUUAAUUAAAUCUUUAAACUUCCAAUCAUGCUGCCCUUAACCUAAAUUUUAAUUCAUUCUUCAUUUAUUUUAUUUUUAUUUGUUUUUUCAUCAUUUUUUAAAUAAAAAUAAUUAAAAUAAAAAGGUUAAAAAUUGGGUUAUGACAGUUGCCCCCUCUUUAUAAUAUUUACCUUGCAAAGAUAUUUAGAAAAUUUCAUUUUCUUUUAGCUUUGUGUAGUAAAUUUAUAAAGAAAAGUAGAUAAAGAAGUUUUUUUUUUUUUUUUUUUUUGCUUUUUUAGUUUGAAAACUUCAAAAACAGUAGAUUGACAUAAGAUUUUAACAGAGAGAACAAAUCAUUUGGAAGACGGUCCAUUUUUUUGUUGUUUUUUUUUUGUUCGAAAUGGAUCAAAUUGUUUUGGGCAACCUGCCCAAUGAUAAAAGAAACGCGAAGAAUUUCGCGAGUGGUCUAAUUGUUCCAGGCGACCUGCCCAAUGAUUGAAAAAUACGAGAAAUUUUUUUGUGAUGGUAUAUUGUAAUGGGUUAUCGGCCCAGAUGGUCACAUUGUAAUGGGUUACCUGCCCAGUAUAAGAUGGUAUGUUGUAAUGGGUUACCCGCCCAAAUGGUAACAUUGUAAUGGGUUACCUGCCCAGUAUAGGAUGGUAUAUUGUAAUGGGUUACCGACCCAGUUGGUCACAUUGUAAUGGGUUACCUGCCCAGAUGGUCACAUUGUAAUGGGUUACCUGCCCAGUGGAUGGUAUAUUGUAAUGGGUUACCGACCCAGUUGGUCACAUUGUAAUGGGUUACCUGCUCAGGUGGUCACAUUGUAAUGGGUUACCGGCCCAGUUGGUCACAUUGUAAUGGGUUACCUGCCCAGUGGAUGGUAUAUUGUAAUGGGUUAUCGACCCAAUUGGUCACAUUGUAAUGGGUUACCUGCCCAGAUGAUCACAUUGUAAUGGGUUACCUGCCCAGUGGAUGGUAUAUUGUAAUGGGUUACCGACCCAGUUGGUCACAUUGUAAUGGGUUACCUGCCCAGGUGGUCACAUUGUAAUGGGUUACCGGCCCAGUUGGUCACAUUGUAAUGGGUUACCUGCCUAGUGGAUGGUAUAUUGUAAUGGGUUAUCGACCCAGUUGGUCACAUUGUAAUGGGUUACCUGCCCAGUAUAGGAUGGUAUAUUGUAAUGGGCUACCGGCCCAGAUGGUCACAUUGUAAUGAGUUACCUGCCCAGUAUAGGAUGGUAUAUUGUAAUGGGCUACCGGCCCAGAUGGUCGCAUUGUAAUGGGUUACCGGCCCAGUUGGUCGCAUUGUAAUGGGUUACCUGCCCAGUUGGUCGCAUUGUAAUGGGUUACCUGCCCAGUGGAAGAAUACGAGGAUUUUUUUUUUUAAGACAUGGUAAGGCUCGAAGGCGCUUUUAUUCAAUAGAUGGAAGCUCAAAGGAAAUGAGGGCUCGAAGACGCACUCAAAAGGAGGUAGGAUAGGAAAUGCACUACCUUUGAUGGUCGAGGGCUCGAAGGCGCGCUCGAAAAGAAACAAGACGAGGGCUCGAAGGCACACUCGAAUGGGGAUAAGACGAGGGCUUGAAGGCGCGCUCGAAUGGAGAAUGAAAGGUGGUGGGAAAAUACAUAUAUUUUUCAAGUGGCCUAAUUUUCAUGGGCGGCUUGCCCAGGUUGAAAAAUUCUCAAAAGUGAAAAUUUUUCAAAAGCAAUUUCAAUGUUCGCCAUUUCAAGUUGGCCUUCCGCUUGAUGGAUUCUGUUAGAAUUUUCUCUAAUAAAAUUUGCAAAACUCAUUGUCCAAUGUCUCAAAGUUUAAAUGAUAUGCAUGCACCUGAUUUGAAAUAUAGGCCCCCCAUUUCUUCUUAGCCUUCUCGUUGCUUGGUUGGUGAGAUCUUGCUAUCUGAUUUGAGUCAUCUUUGUCGUUUGGCUUUCUAGCCCACUCGAGUUAGCCCAUAUAAGACUUUUUCUAGAUUUGUUUGCACAACUCAGCCUUUAUGGUACCCAUCGUGACCCACAUGCUUGCUAAAGAUUUUCGGACUCGUCAAAUAAUUUGAGAGGAUCAUUCAUUACCCCUCGUCUCAAUGCUAAAAACAUUCGGUGUCACUAGCUGAAAGGAUCAAACGGUCUUUUGUAAACCAAAAUGCCCCCUUGUCUUGUUGUAAGGGAUGAUAGAUUUUCCUUAAACAUAAUGUUGUCCCCUUGUACUGGUCAUUGCCCCCAAGUGCGCUAUGUCACUGACUUAGAUGAAUAAUGAUUUUAAGAGGCCAUUCUCUCAUUUGGUGAAGGAAUAUGAGUCUAGAAUAAAUCUUGAAAUCUUGAUCUUGCAUUUUAAAAACAAAAAUUAUUUCGAUGUGAGUCUAAAAUAAUUUGUUUUUGAAAUCUUGCAACUCCUUGGUUAUUUUCUUUCUUGGAAAAGAGAUUAUUUGCUCUUGUGUUUGGUAAUGAGGUCUUUGAGGAAAAUAUGUCAUGAGAUGACCUUUUGUUUCGAAGUGAAGGGCUCGAGAAAAAGCUCGAGGUUUUAUAUGAGAAAAACUUGUCUUUUUUAGCAUUUAUUUUUAUCAGCAUGAAUAAUAAUGAGUAGUUUAUUCUUGAUGUCAUGAAUCUUAUGAAAAAAUAUUCUUUGCAUUUUGAGAGCAUUGUUUAUUGUUCUAAGUUGCUUGCUUGCUUGAUUAGAAAGGACUUCUACAGGCAUGUAACGUAGGCUGUGUUUUUUAUUUUUUUGCUAUGAAAGAAAAGGAUUCAUAAGGCUCAAAGAGUGUUUCAGGGUUUCAAAGAUUGAAGAUCACGAUCAACAGUUUGACUCUUGAUGUCAUUCAUAUUUUCUUUUGCCGCUCUUCUUUGAUUUGCCCCUUUUUUUUUAUAGCUUUGCUAGAGCAUACUCACUUUAUCUUGGUUAUCAUUUUUUUCUUGUGAUUUGGGUAUGCCCCCUAGCAUUUGAGUUUCUUGGGCUCUUUAUGCCUUUUUGGCUUUCUCACGGCUUUUUCUCAUUUCACAUUGAAAUUUUCUCUUGCCCCCCAGUGUAGGGUGUGAUCUUAGUCAGGAUUUUUAAUGAAAGAAAAAUUAUUCAGGCUCAAAAAGGGAUCGCAAGGGAUGUACUUAUUUUAGAAAGUGAAAGGAAUAACAAAGAUGGCCUUUCCUCAUUUUAAGCGCAAGCAGUUAAGAUCAAUAAACUUUGACCUCAUCUAGUGUGAUGGUUUGGUCUUUGCAAAGAUGCAUUUCAUAAAUCAUGAGCAACGAAUUCUCUACAUACCAUUAUUCAUACAUUUAAAAACACAUGAUUCAAGAGUCAUGGGGUAAGUGUCUUUCUUUUUCUUUUUCAUAAUUUUUAUGGUUUAUAAUUUAGUCACCUCAAUGAUGAAGCUGCUUGAUUCACUUGUCAUUCUACAAGUAGAAUGUGAAAAAUAUCAUUUUUGAAUGAACAUCAAAUUAUUUUUGAAAUCAAAAUACCAGAUCAAAUUUUCAAAACUCCAAUAGGGAAAUGGAUUUUGGUACAAGAGAUGAAUUGCGUCUAUGAGAUCACGUAAGGCUUCAAAGGUGGAUUCGUGAGUUCUUAUAAGAAAAACUCUCUUAAUCAGAAUAAUGCUUGGUCGUGAACACGAUUGAAUGACAAACUCAAUAUUUCAUUGAAGCUUAGGAAAAGAAGUUCAACAACAAAGAUCUUAUGCCAACAUGAAUACUGGCAUGAUAACACAUAAAGGAGCUAAACAUUUAGUGAUCAUUCUCGACCUAAUAUCACCAUAGCUUUCUCUUCAAGGUAGUUGAUUUCUAGGAGUCGGCGUAAAGAAAUUAACCAUAGGAACAGUAAGAGCCUUGGCCACCCCCUUCAGUGUCCUUUCCUUUUUCGGUGAAACCGUUCUUUUCAGUUGGAUCAGCAAUUUUACCUAACCCAAUGGCUUGUUCAAUCCUCUCAGCUACAACAACCAGGUCAGUGAAAUGUUGUGCAGAGCUUCUAACCAAGUAUUCAAAGUACGGAGCUUUAAAGGUGUUGGAAAAUAAACUGAUCAUCUCUUUUUCCAACAUGGGAGGAUUAACUUGUGCAGCUACCUCACUCCAUCUCCGGGCGUAUUCCCUUAUGGACUCCUUGUUGUCCUUCUCCAUAGCUUGCAAGCUUAACCGAUCAGGGCCCACGUCUAUAUUGAACUUAUAUUGCCUCAUAAAGGCAUCCACUAAAUCCUUCCAUUUUUUAACCUUGGUAUUGUCCAACCGCAUAUACCAAGUGAGGGCAACAUUACUCAGACUGUCUUGAAAGAAAUGAAUCAGCAGUUUCUCAUUAUCAACCACCUCAGCCAUUUUGUUGCAGUAUGCUUUGAGAUGAGUUAUAGGACAUUGAGUUCCCGUAUAUUUAACAAAUUCGGGCACUCUAAACUUUUUAGGAAUGACAACGUUGGGCACCAAACACAUCUCAACAGCCCUUAUAGGAUCAUAUAGGUGAAUUCUCUCAAAUGCCCUCAUCCUUUGCUCUAGGGCAAUGAAUUUGUUCAGAUCAUCUUCUUUUACCACCUUGCCUUUUUGAUAUUCCUUCUCUAUAGAAUCAAUGGUGGACAAAACUCUCGCAGGGUAUGCUGGCUGGAAAUGCAUAGGUUGUUGAAAUUCAGAUGACACCCUAUUUGCCCCCAGAUUCUGUGGAUCGAAAUGAGUUACAUGCAUAUCUUCAGGCUGAGCUAUAAGUGUUGCUUUUCCGGAUUUAUUUCUCAAGACCUGCUCGAGUAGACUAGUAAUCCUUGUGACUUCUUCCUUAAGAUUGUCCACCUCUUUUUGAUGUUGGGCUUCCAACUGGGCUCUUUCUUCGUUUUCCAUUUGUCUUUUUCUCGAACGAGUGUUAUACAUGGGUUUCAAUGGGGAACCUAUAUUUCAACCUGUUAAAUGUAAAUCAUGCAAUUAUGCAAAAAUGCUGAAGCAAUUAGAAAAAAUGCAAAUGAAAUGCGGACUUGCCCUUUUACGGGAUGACAACCUAAUAAACAGAUCCUAAUUGUUGAGUGCAUCAAAGGGUUGGUCAUUAUCUAGUUUUAAAGGGUCUCUCGCACGCUCAGUGAUCGUCCAUGAAAGGUCGAUAUGAGGCUUACAAGUAGUGUGAAGAUAGAGGCCCUAAGUAAUAUCAGUUUGGCAUAUCAACCACUUCCAAGUAAACAAUCAAGCGAGAGUUGGAUGGUUUCACGAGUCUUACCCAGGCUAAAGCCAUUGGGGUACCGUUACUCCCCCCAUUUAUCCUAGAUUUUAAGGUAUGUGCUUUUAACGUGAUGCAUGACAAUAUAAACAUAGAUGCAUGCUAAAGCAGUAAAUGCAAGAAAAAUAAACAAAUAAACACAACAUAACAAAUAUUAUAGCAAUUGACAAACAAAAGGCAAAGCUUAGUCCAUUAUUCCCCAGUGGAGUCGCCAUUCUGUCGCACCCGACAUCGCGGCGGCCUUAAAAAAAAAAAUCAGGUAUAUUGCGGAAAAAGAACAGAUUUCUGGCAUCUUGUUCUUUUAGGAAAAAUGUCUUGUUUAAGGAGUCGCCACCUAGUAUUAUGGUCACUAGGAACCCUAACUGGUCAACAGAGAUUCUAUGGUACGGGACUGGUUACGUAAAAGGGAAGAUAUUAUCACCCCUUAAACGUUCUGCCUAAGGCAGACUGCAUUGCUGGUUUUGUCUUAAAUUGCUAAACAUUUAUUCGCUUAUGCUAUGAUGAUUUGUUUAUAAUAUUCCUGACUCUGACGCCAGUGAAUAUUCGAUCGCGAAUAAUUCCAACUCUGGCGUUGGUAAAAAUUCCACCCGAAUAAUUCCAACUCUGGCGUUGGUAAAAAUUCUACUACAAAUAAUUCCAACUCUGGCGUUGGUAAAAAUUCAUAGCCACCAAAAAUAAAUUCAGAUUAAUAUUUUUUUAUUCCUGACUCUAACGCUAGUGAAUAAACAAAUAAACUAAAUUUAUGCAUUCACAUAUUUUUUUAUUUUUUAUGUAGUUAAAUAAAAAAAACAAAGAGAAUAAUUAAAUAAGUAUUUUUAUUUUUGACUCUGAAAUCAGUAAAUAAAAAUAAAUUUAUUUUUCAUACAUGCACGUAUAUUUUUUUGCUAAAUAAAAAAAAUAUACGAAUAAAAAUAAUAUAAACUUAAACUAAUAUUUUAUUCCCGACUCUGGCGUGGGUGAAUAAACUAGUAAAUUUAUAUUAUUUUUAUUCAUGCACACACAUAUUUUUUUAUUUUUUUAUUUUUUAUUUUCUUAUUUUUUUUAUAUAUAUAUUUGUUUUUUGCUGGGCCUAGCUCAGCCCACAUGGGCUGGGCCCAGCCCAGCCCAGCCCAGCCCAGUCACUGGCCCAAGCCAGUGACCCGGCUGGGCAACAUGAAGCACGCGUGAACUAAAUCACGCGUGCAUUAGCAGAUAAAGGAAUUAAUUGAGAGUGUACAGUAGGAAGUGAAUUAAAAUGAAAAACGGUGAAAGGUGAAAGAGAAACUUACUUACCUGGCUCUGGAUACAACGAAGGCAGCAGCAACAAUGGUUCUGGUCACGGUGGCUUUCCUCUGCUUAUGUUCGUCCCCUGUUUAUUGGCUUGUUCGUCCCCUGUUCUUGUUUCCAGUCGCUCUCCUUUUGUUUCCUUGCUCUCGUUCUCUGUCUUCUGCGUUUGUUUUUCUUCUGUGUUUCCCUGGUUCUCUUUUUGUUCACCUUAUCUUCUCUGCUUUUCCUUUUUUUUCGUCUGUGUCUGUCCCUUCUCUCUCGGUCUGUUUUUUCUUUUUUUUUCUCUUGCUCUCACAUGCUCUGUCUUUCUCUGUUUUUUUCUGUUCUUGGCUCUGUUUUGGGUUGAUUUUUCUUGUGCAGGGAUGAAGAUGAUGGCGGGGUUGAUCUCUGAUUCCUUUCUGCCUUUCUCCCCUUCUCCCUGGGUAUUUCUUUUUGUGUUUGUGCUCUGUUUUGCUCUGCUUGUUUCCUCACUGAUUUCCGGUUCUUGCUUUUUCCAAUCUUCCCCCUCGUUUUAGUCCAAUUCAUCCCCUGUUUCCAGUGUUCUUUUUCCUGCGUUUUGCUCGGUUCCCCUCCUCCGGUUUGUUCGGUUCUUUGUCCAGCCCCGUUGUUCCCCUGUUUCCUGAGUUUUUCUAUGGGUUCUGCUCCAGUUAUCCCCCCUCUGUUCGUCCCCUUGCCUCUGCUCUGCUCUGCCUUUUAUAGAGCCCGAGCACGCAGAAAAAACCCGUUCCUCUGUUCAUCAAUCCAUGAGCGGGAUCAUGGGCAAGAAAUCAUGGUGUCGUGGUCCACGAUUUGCUGCAAAUUUCCUGUUAAAACGGCUUUUUCCGCUCAAACGUGGGAGACGAUGAACAAUGCUUCCAAAACGGUGCCGUUGUGUCCUUGGGCAUGGCUUUUUUUAAUUUAGUCCCUAAACAGUUUAAACUUAACAAUUGGGAUCCUAAUCAGAAACAAUUGAUUUCUAAUUGUGCCCUUGGAUUAAAUUUAAUUGAAUCCUUGAGUUAUAACGCCAUUUACACAACAGUCCUAGAUGUUUGGACUAUUCAAUUUGGUCCUUGGACUUUAAUUUUCUAGCAAUUUUUCCUUGAAUCAGCUCUAAACUUUGAUAUUCUUUCAAUUACACCCCUGAUUCCUUUAAUUAAUUAAAUCAAAGUUUAAUUAAGUCCUUAAACUCAUUAAUUCUUCAAUUAAACUCUUGAUUUCAUUAAUUAAAACAAUCUGAAUUUUAAUUAAAUCAAUUCUCCAAUUAAACCCUUGAUUUAAUUAAUUAAAAAGAGUUUAAUUAAAUCUUUAAACUUCCAAUCAUGCUGCCCUUAACCUAAAUUUUAAUUCAUUCUUCAUUUAUUUUAUUUUUAUUUGUUUUUUCAUCAUUUUUUUAAAUAAAAAUAAUUAAAAUAAAAAGGUUAAAAAUUGGGUUAUGACAAUUUACAAAAGAAAUUUCCUAGUACUUUCUACUGUAUAUAAUUUGAAAAAUUGUGACUGACCAACUUACUUGCAAAGUAUUGGCAAGAAAGUUAAAGAAUUAGAGUUUUUAAAUAUUUAAAAUUAUAAUUUUAAAUUCUAAGAAAAAAAUCAAUUAUUUUUAAAAUUGUUUUCAAAAAUAAAAGCAUCAACUAUUUAUAUAAUAGCUAAAUGAAUCUAUUAAAAUAAAUAAAAAAAUAACUAGUAAAAUCAAGUGAAUAAUCCAAAAAUAACAAGAAAAUAGAGAUAUUUCCUAAAUAUGAUUCCAGUUUGUAUUUGCUAACAUAAAUAGCAUACAUGAACUUUAUUAUAAUAGUAUAUUUGAUAUUUAAAUAAAAACUUAUAGAUAUUAUAUGGGUUGGAAACCCAUUUUUUAUUAAAUUUUAAAUUUUAUAUGUUUAAAAAUAUUUUUUUAUAUUUUUUAAUUAUUUUAAUGUGAUAAUAUUAAAAAUAAAUAAAUAAAAUUUUUCUAACUUUUACUACUUCUGACUUGCUUUGACUCGAAAUUCGCGGUGCUUUCUCCUGCAAAUGAAUAGAAAGCAUAUCAUUUCUCCUCCUCCUAUAUGAAGAAUACAACUCGCUUUGAAACCUCAAUUAAAUUUCCUUGGUUUACUCUUCAGAUUACUUCUCCUAAACUCCUUUGUUCAUUUUCUUUUUUAUUACCCCUUCAUGCCAAUUGUUAGAUACUAAAAACAGCAAGAACUGUACUCAAUUAGCAAAAAAUAGAUUUUUGACUAGAAAAAUUCUAUCAAAUUCUCUACUUUAUUAGUGUUCAUUUUCAUUCUUUUUUAACAUAUCUUUUCCAAUUGUUUAGAAAACUUUUAUGUCAAUCAAUAUACACCUACUUUCAACGUUUUACACUGCUUUAGUCCUAAAAAAUAAUUCUAGAUAUAGUUGUAUUGUAAUAGAUAUUAUAUUUCAAACUAUUUUUGAAAUAUAUUAAAGUAAUAUAUUUUUUUAAAAAAAUAAUUUUAACAUCGCUACAUUAUAAUAAUAAAAAUAAUAAUUUAAAACAAUAAAAAAAUUUAAAAUAUUUUUAAAAUAUGAUUUUACUGCACUCCAAAACAUACCAUCCUCCCUCAGCAACCACCACGAAAUUACCACUCUAAAAACUCUUUGACAAUUAUUGCUUGCUCUUUGACUAUUAUUGCUUGGCUAAUGAUUUGCAAGAAACUUUCUCAAUUUCCUUCUAUUUUCUUUUUAUCAUGGAAACUUUAAGUCACAUCUACGCCUACCACGAACUACCAAUAAGUAAAUUUCAAUAUGUAAUUGUGUAGGUUGAAUUAAAAGUGCUUUAAUGAAGUAUGUUAAAAAAUAAUAUAAAUUAUAUUUUAGAUUUUAUUUUAAUAAUUUAAAUUUCUAGAUGAAUAGAUUUUUUACAAAUAAAAGAUAUAGUUUUACGAUAAAAUGCAUUUUUUGAAAUGAAAUUAUAUUAAAUUAAACAUGCUCGAGAUUGUUUGAAUUAUUAAUUAAUUAUAAUUAACUUUAUGUUUUUUGAGGAAACAAAUGGGAAGGACAAAAUUAUCUACCCCAAACGAUAGACCUAGCCCACUUUUCAAACCAAUCCCCAAAUAAAUAGAAUGAUGGUCUCAUAAGUUGCUUUUUUUCUUUCUAGGCCGCCAAGCAGUUUGGUCUCCCUCACUAGACCACUUUAGCACAAGAAUCACACUAGAGGAUUUAAAAGUAGUUUGAAGUAUCAUUAAACCUGAUAAAAAUGAAUAACUGAUAAUAAUAUAGUUGGGAUUUUAAAAAAAAAUUCAUAAAAAACUAUAUAAAAAGCAAUUUAAAACCAAUUAAUCUUAAAAACACCAAAAUGAAACAUGCCAUGAAAAACAAAUUAAAAAAAAACAAAAUACUUGAAAAAAAUUAAUUCAACCCUUUUUCAUAUAAAAAAAAGUAAUUGGGUAUUAAUUUACGGUAAAAAGAGUAUAUUAAUGCAAAAAAAAAAAAAAAGAGUUUGAGGGUAUUGAUUUUAUUACUUGUUAGGUAACUAUGUAAUCUAAUCUGUUGAUGUGGAAAAUAGCACUAAGUUUUUGGCAUUGCCCAUUGGUGAGAAGCAAAAGCAGUAGCAGUCCAUCAGGACCAUCACUAUCGUAUCGCUUCGCCGUACUGUUUAGCUUCUUGGCAUUGUUCGAAGGAACGCAGAAAUACAUUCCAAGUGCGAAAGUGUAUUAUUGUCAUAAAGUUUUUCAAACCUCCACUAUAGAGAGAGAAAUAAAUAAAAAGCGCAAAGGCAACUAUACUAAAGGUCAGUUUUUCACUCUCUGAAAAAUCCUUAAAAAAUCUUUUUUAGUUUAUUUGUAAUUAAAUUAAAGAAAAAUAUUAAUUAGUAAUUUUACAUUUUUUUCUAUACUAUAAUUAUCAAAUAACCCUUAAAAAAUUUCAUUUUAACCUUUAUUCUCUCUUCUUCUUUUUCAAUUCAUUUGUUAAUUUGAUUUUUUUUUAAUUUUGCUUUUUGAUUCAAAAUUUUAGUUUAUCCUCUCAAUUUUUUUUCAAAUAAUGUUCUUAUUCUCUUAAUUGCUAUUUUUUUAUCCUUUAAUUUUUUUAUUUUAUUAUUCGACAAUUCAUUAAUUGGAUCUGAUCUCAUUGGUUUUUUCUAUUGUUUCUAAACCCUACCCAAUAAUCAAUCCAGGAUAAUUAUCGAGUUACGAGUCGAGUGGGUUGACUCGAGUGAACCCAGACAACCAAAUCCUUUUGUUUUAUAAAAAGCCAAAAUGAUACCAAUUUUUUAUUUUUAAAAAAUAAUAAACGAGUUUUGACCCUGUUUCGGCUAGAUUUUCUUAGGAUUAACUAAAACAUUUAUCAACCCAAGUUUUUUAUUGUAUUACAUUAGAUUAAUUCUCUCUCAAUUAUUUUUGAAACUCGUGCGUUUUAAACCAAAGGUCACAUGGGACACAAUUUCUUUGUGCUUUGUACUGUACAUAAUUUGAAAAACUGUGAUUAACCGACUUACUUGCAAACGAAGCUAAAGAAAAAAAUCAAUUAUUUUUUUUUAAAUUCAAAAAUAAAACAUCAACUAUUUAUAUAAUAGCUAAAUGAAUCUAUUAAAAUAAAUAAAAAAUAACUAGUAAAAUCAAGUAAAUAAUUCAAAAAUAACAAAAAAAAAUAGAGAUAUAUUUUUUAAAAACUUUUAUCUUAUAUGGGUAGGGGUUGCCAUGCAACUUAACCGGGAUCACCAUGAUUGUCGAGUAAAGUAAAUAAAUUACUUAACCGGGAUCACCAGAGGAGUUAUUUGCCAAGAUUGAGUUAUAUAACAGUUUAUAAAUCAUGCUAUCAUCUCCAUCACCAUAUAUAAAGCUAGACAAAAUAGGAUAAGAGGGGAUUAAAUUUAGUUUUAGAAUAUAUUUGAGAAUAUAGUUGAACCAUGUUUUUUAAAAUGUUUUUAAAUUGUUUUAAUAUGCUGAUGUUAAAAAUAAAUUUUAAAAAUUAUUAUUUUAAUAUAUUUAUAAUUAAAAAAUAUUUUAAAAAGUAAUUUUCAUCACAUUCUCAAAUUAGUUAAAGUUUUUCAAAUGAAUAGAUUCAUGUCGAUGACACUCUCUAGUCAGUUUUGAGAAUUUUAAAUCCAAACAAGUGAAUUUAUAUUAUAUAUGGAUCAAACAAGCAUGCUUGUACAAUAAUUUCUCAUACUCAAUAGAAAUUUGGGUUUAUCAUUAGGGUAAGACAAACCGAAUAAUUCUUUUAAUAUUUAAAAAUUAAAAAAUACUGUGUAGCUGUUUUGUAUAAAUUGUAAAAUUGAGUCUUUUGUGCUUGGUAAAAUACGUCACAAUAAAGUCAAUAAAUAAUAACACAAGAAAGGAUCAAAGUUAAUAAAUAAUAGCAUGCUUUAAUAGAUUGUUACAGUAAAAGCACAGAGAGAAGAACGGUUCAAGACAGAACAAUAAAGUUAACGCGUGGACUCAUUUGUUGCAACCAGCACGAAACUCCAGCUCAAUUAUAUGUUAAAAAAUAAUAAAGUAUGUUUUAAUAGCAUGCUUUAAUAGAUUUAAUAAAGUAUGUUAAAAAAUAAUAUAAAUUAUAUUUUAGAGUUUAUUUUAAUAAUUUAAAUUUAUAGAUGAAUAGAUUUUUUACAAAUAAAAGAUAUAGUUUUACGAUAAAAUGCAUUUUUUGAAAUGAAAUUAUAUUAAAUUAAACAUGCUCGAGAUUGUUUGAAUUAUUAAUUAAUUAUAAUAAACUUUAUGUUUUUAGAGGAAACAAAUGGGAAGGACAAAAUUAUCUACCCCAAACGAUAGACCUAGCCCACUUUUCAAACCAAUCCCCUGGUAAAUAGAAUGAUGGUCCCAUAAGUUGCUUUUUUUCUUUCCAGGCCGCCAAGCAGUUUGGUCUCCCUCACUAGACCACUUUAGCACAAGAAUCACACUAGAGGAUUUAAAAGUAGUUUGAAGUAUCAUUAAACCUGAUAAAAAUAAAUAACUGAUAAUAAUAUAGUUGAGAUUUAAAAAACAAUUCAUAAAAAAACUAUAUAAAAAGCAAUUUAAAACCAAUUAAUCUUAAAAGCACCAAAAUGAAACAUGCCAUGAAAAACAAAUAAAAAAUAAAAAAAAUACUUGAAAAAAAUUAAUUCAACCCUUUUUUCAUAUAAAUAAAGUAAUUGGGUAUUAAUUUACGGUAAAAAGAGUAUAUUAAUGCAAAAAAAAAAAGAGUUUGAGGGUAUUGAUUUUAUAUUUUUUAUUAACGUGGGUGUCCGAGUCAGUUUACAUGCACCUCGACUAAUUCUACGGGUCCUGAAGCUAACUACCAUGUAAGUCUCCAGUGGUCCUGAGAUUUAUGAGACUCGAACUGGUAAUCUUUAGGAAGCAAACUCAGGAGCUAGUCAGUUAAGUUACCCUGAGGAUUGGAUCUAGAUUUUAUUAAGAAAAAAACCGGUCGAUCCACCGAGUCAAUCUGGAACCCGGGUGACCCGACAAAACCCGGUAGAAACUUUUUUUUUUCAAAUGUGUUUUUUCUUCUAGCUAGAGAUUCAUCUUUUUUCAUACAUGAAAAUAAAAAAAAAUAAAAAUUUAAAACAAUAAAAAUUUUAAAAUAUUUUAAAAAUAUAAUUUUAUUGCAAUCCAAAACACACCCAUGCUCCCUCAGCAACCACCACGAAAUUACCACCCUAAAUUCGGGCUCAAUAAUUUAUUCCUUAGCAAUUAUUGCUUGCUCUUUGAAAAUUAUUGCUUGGCUAAUAAUUUGCAAAAAACAAUUGCUUUUUUUCUUUCCAGCCAGCCAAGCAGUUUGGUCUCCCUCACUGGACCACUUUAGCACAAGAGAUGUCGUUAAAAGAGUACCAUAAUGCAAAAAAAAAAAACAAAAAAAGGAGUUUGAGGGUAUUGAUUUUAUUAUUUGUUAGGUAACGAUGUAAUCUAAUGUGUUGAUGUGGAAAAUAGCACAAAGUUUUUGGCAUGGCCAUUGAUGAGAAGCAAAAGCAGUAGCAGUCCAUCAGGACUAUCACCAUCCUAUCGCUGACAUUCCAUGUGUGAAAGUGUAUUGUUGUCAUAAAGUUUUUCAAACUUCCAAUAUAGAGAGAGAAAUAAAUAAAUAAAUAAAUAGAAAGCGCAAAGAAAACAAUACGAUAAAUUUAAACUAUACUAAAGGUCAGUUUUUCACUCUGUGUGAAUCUACAGUGAAAGCUUGAUUUUGCACAUGGUAGAUAAAUUUAGGUUUAGGAGUAUAAUUUUUUUUUUUAUAUAAUUACACUAAAGAAGAAUAUUAAUUGGUAAUUUUACAUUUUUUUAUAAUAUAAUUAUCAAAUAACCCUUAAAAAAAUUCCUUUUAGUUUAGGGUUUUUUUUUUCAUCUCAAUUACUUAACUGUCCCUAAAAAAUAAACUCCUUUACUAUGGAUGUAAGGUCAUUUUAGAUUUUUGGCUAUAUUUUUUUUAUUAACGUGAGUGUCUGGAUAGUUUAUACACACCUCGACUAAUCUCAUGGGCCCUGAAGUUAACGAUCAUGUAAGCUUCUAGUGACCCUGAGGUUUGUGGAACUCGAACCAGUGAUCUUGAGGCAACAAACUCAAGGUCUAACCAGUUGAGUUAUACCCCUGAGAAUUGGGUCUAGAUUUUAUUAUUUGUGAGGUAACUAUGUAAUCUAAUCUGUUGAUAUGGAAAAUAGCACAAAGUUUUUGGCAGUCCAUAGUCUUACAGCUAGUACUAAAGUUUUUUUUUUUCUAAAUUAAAGAUGAAUAUUUUUUGUUGGCAUCAAAUAAUUUAAAAUGAGAAUUACAGAGCACAGGGUUUAAUCAAAUAUUAAAAGAGAAGAUUUUGUGGAAUUAUUAGAUAAUUAAAAUCAUCACUAAUCUCCUUUUUUCAUUUUUUUUUAAUUAUUAUUAUCCCUGGCAUGCACGAAACAUUGAAAACCGCAAUUUUUCAUGAUAAAAUCCAAAGGAUUGGUACUUUGGUGUUUGUGGGGCUGGUAAAUGGAAGAACACGUGUUUGUGGGGCUGUUAUUUCAUUCAAGGUGCGUACUUUGGUGUGUAUCACGUGUUUGUUGCAUUGACUGAAUAUGAUAGUGGGAACUUAUUUAUCAAGAAUUAAAGCAGUAGUUGCUUAUGGAUAAUUAGCUCUUCCAUCCAGCAUUAAUUCUAUUAUCAAUUAUAGUUCAGUCAUAAAGUUUUUCAAAGAGAGAAAUAAAAAGGAAAAGGAAAAGGAAACAACCCCCACUCCAUCUUUCCCUUCUUUCCAUGAAAAAAGGAAACACCCCAUAUGAUUUUGAUUUUCAAUCAGUGUGAGUGAGAAAGAAAGAGAGGAUUAAAUUUGAUUUUGAUUUCGAAGAGAGAAUUAAUUAAAUUUAGAAUUAAUUCUAUUAUGUAUUUAAAUGUGUUUAGUUACCUUGUAAACCGUAUGGUAGAGUCCCUCAAAUAUUCUGGCCACAGCAAUAUUUUAGGUGGAUUGUAUGGGGCUUGCAACCACUCUAUUAUGCCAAGCAAUAUUUUGUCAUAGAACCCUUUGGCCCUCUAAAUUACCCAAAAAGGACAAUAAUUGAGCACAAGUGGUACAGGUCAGGGUUAAACUCAGCUUGCUAGAGCCAGUUCUCAAUUUUAGGCACCAGUUCUCAAUUGAAUUUUAGCAAAAUCAAGGAUUCAAGAAUUGGCCUCUGUAACAUGGUUUGUAUUCUGAGCCAAUCUGGGCUAGGAUUUGAAACAAAUGUAGCUAUUUUUUCUCCUUUUAUUAUUAAAAAAUAUAUUCAUGGAUUAAUUUUCGUAUAAUUUAAGAAAGUAAGUCCUUUAAUCAAAUUUUAGAUGUGGCCAUCCUCAAUGUGUUAAAAGUAAAUGUUAAUUACCAAGUUGUUGCAAAAAGACAUUCCCUUUCUUGUCAUAAAGUUUUAAAGAGCUAUCAAAAACGUACUUCGUGUAUUAUUGUCGUAAAGUUUUUCAAGCUUCCAAUAUAGAAAGAGAAAUAAAAAGGAAAAGGAAAAGGAAAAGGAAACAACAAGGAAUCUUUCUUGUGCGCUUUCCCUUCUUCACAUGGCUUCCUCGAUCGAUGUAAAAAAGCAAACGCCCCAUUUGAUUUUCAAUCAGUAUGAGUGAGAAAGAAUGAGAGUCCUCUCUUUCCUUGCUUUUUUUAACGCGUGGACCCAGCAGUGGUUGCCACCAAAAUCCUUCCUCAAUAUUUACCAGUACUACACGCUUGAGAAAUUUCCUUGCUUUUUUUCCUCUACGUACUGUUACCUUUUACCAGAUUUCCCAGAAUAGCCCCUUCGUGGGCUACUUUAUUCUUCACGGGUUCUUCUAUUGCCAGAUUCUCUCAUGCAAUUAAGUUUUUCUUUCCGUUUCCAAAUUUGAUAGCCCCAAAACCUCAUCAUUGAGUAGGUUUUGUUUUAGUUUAAGCGUGAUGGAGACGACACUAAAAAUAACAACAACAAAAAAACAGUUUUGGUGUAAAUAUCAAUGGAAGGUUUGGGUGCAGUCCUGUUUGUUUUUGUAUUUUAAAAAUAUUUUUAAAAAAAUUAAAUUUUUUUUAUUUUUUUACUUCAAAUUCAUAUAUUUUUUAGCCAUUUUAGAUCAUUUUGAUGCGCUAAUAUCAAAAUAAUUUUUAAAAAAUAAAAAAAAUAUUAUUUUAAUAUAUUUUAAAAUAAAAAACACUUUAAAAAUAACUCCAACAAUAAUCUCAAAUAUUCUUUAAAGACACAAUUUAAGUCACCGUAGGGUCAAAUAGGUCAGGCACUGUGCUGCAUGGUUAUUACUACUUUUUAGCCUUUUUUUUUUAUAUAUAUAUAUAUAAACAUCUUUUAUUUUUCUUAUCGGUUUCUCUGUUUCUCAUUAGCUUUAUGACACCAAUUAACAAUAAUCAAAUUUAAAAAAUAAUUAAUUUGUCCUUUUAAAAAAUAAUAUUUAAUCCUUAUGUUUUAAUAUAAAGUUAAACAUGUGGCAGUAGAAAUGAAGAAGAUGCCACACCACUUAAGGGCCCAAAGCCAAAUUUAAAAACAGGACCAUCAAACACGUGUUAACCUCUCAAGAUAAAGGAUGCAAAACUUGGAACAAAAUGAAAAAAGUGCAAUGCUGAUGAGUUCAUCAAACCAUGACCGUUCCAGGUGAAAUACAAAGUUUAGAUCAGUGCUUGUCAGUUGUGUGUUGAACUGAGAAAGAAUAAUUUGAUUGUCAUUUCAGUACAAAAGUAAGAGCAGAAGAGGCUUUUAUAUAUAUAUAUAGCCUAUACAGAGACUAAUAAGGAAAAACUCAUUACACUAAUCUAGUAAAUAAUCAUGGACGAUUUACAAUCAAGUAAGGCUAAUUAGGAAACUAAAUAUUCUAUGAUUCCUAUUCUGUGAUUUCCAUAUUUAUUCUUCACGUUAACACUCCCCCUCAAGUUGGUGCAUAGAUAUCAGCAAUGCCCAUCUUGUCAAGUGAUUUAUGAAAGAUUUUGCCCGAGACAGCCUUUGUAAGUAUAUCUGCUAGCUGAUCUUCUGAUUUUACAAAUGGAAAUUGAAUCACGUUGUCUUCAAGCUUCUGUUUAAUGAAAUGCCGAUCUACCUCAACAUAUUUGGUACGAUCAUGUUGAAUUGGGUUGUGCGCAAUUGCUAUGGCUGCUUUAUUGUCACAAAACAUGUUCAUUGUAUCUUGAGAUGAACAUCCAAUUUCUUCCAUUAAUCUCUUUAACCAAAGUAGCUCACAUAGUCCUUUGGUCAUACCUCUGAAUUCAGCUUCUGCACUUGAUAAAGCAACUACCUUCUGUUUCUUACUUCUCCAAGUGACUAGAUUCCCGCCCACAAAUGUGAAGUAGCCGGAUGUGGAUUUCCUGUCAGUGAUGUUCCCUGCCCAAUCUGCGUCAAUGUAACCAUUGAUGUGCAGAUGUUGAUGUUUCCUGAACAUCAGUCCUCUGCCUGGAGAAGACUUCAGGUAUCGUAAAAUGCGAAUCACAGCACUCAUAUGAUCUUCGCUGGGGUAAUGCAUAAACUGACUUACCAAACUCACGUCAUAUGCAAUGUCUGGUCGAGUAUGAGAUAAGUAUAUUAGUUUUCCCACAAGGCGUUGAUAUCUCUCUUUAUUGGUGGGAGCCUGAUUAGGAAAUUCUCCCAAACCAUGGUUUUGAACUAUUGGUGUAUCAGCUGGUUUGCAGUCAAGCAUUCCUGUUUCAGACAGCAAGUCAAGCACAUAUUUCCUUUGGGAUAGAAAUAUGCCUUGUCUCGAUCGAGCCACUUCAAUCCCCAAAAAAUACUUUAAUCCUCCGAGGUUCUUCAUCUCAAACUCGGUUGCUAACUGCUCUUGUAAUUUUGAGAUUUCUUCUCUGUCGUUUCCUGUAAUUAUCAUAUCAUCAACAUAGAUUAUGAGAGCUGUUACCUUUUCUCGUUGGUGCUUCAAGAAGAGAGUGUGGUCUGAAUUACUUUGCUUGUAACCGUAUCUCCGCAUGGCAAAACUAAAUCGUCCAAACCAUGCUCUCGGGGAUUGUUUUAAGCCAUAUAACACCUUUUGUAGCUUGCAGACCACCUUCCCUUGCAUUAGGGAAGUAAGGUCAGGUGGAACAUCCAUGUACACCUCCUCCUCAAGAUCUCCAUGGAGAAAAGCAUUUUUCACGUUAAAUUGGUGUAGUGGCCAGUCCAAGUUUGCAGCAAGAGAUCAGUACUCUCACAGUAUUUAAUUUCGUUAUCGGUGAGAAGGUUUCUUGAUAAUCUAUCCCAUAUGUCUGAGUAUAUCCCUUUGCCACCAGCCUUGCUUUAUAUCUUUCUACCGAACCAUCUGCUUUGUGUUUGACAGAGAACACUCAUCUACAUCCCACAGUUUUCUUUCCUUCAGGUAGUGGUACGAGGUUCCAAGUAUUAUUUUCCUGCAGUGCUUCCAUUUCUUCAUCUAUUGCUUGAAUCCAUUUAGGAUUAUUCAAAACUUCAUUCACUGUAUUAGGGACAUCUUCUGUAGAUAGUUUAUGCGCCAAUGCCUUGAGGGUUCAGACAGCUUCUGAGUUGAGACAUGGUUGGCAAUUGGGUACUUGGAUUUGCUCAUUCCAUGAUCAGGUGAAUAUCGUUUUGGAGGUUGUCCACAAUUAUGUCUGAAAGGCAAGUUAUAGCCAGCAGAAAUAUUUUGAGAUGAGUUUAGAACUUGUACCUCAUAAAUAUUCUCAGGAGAUUGAACUGAUUGUGGUACUGUCACGGCAUGGAAGGGCUGUUCAUUGGAGACUUCUCCAGUUGCUUCCAUUUGCUCACUAGUUUCUGCACUCUUCUCCACUGUCUCGGUCUCAACGUGCUCAUCAUUUUCUCCUUGUUCCCUCAUUAAUUCUGUCUCUGUAUCAAUAGCAACAUGCGGCUGGAUAAUAUUAUCUGAGAUAUGCUCACUAUCUCCCCCUGCAUUCUUCACUGUACUGUCAGUAAAGCCCGGCCAAUAUUCCCAGGCCUGCUCUGCACUUAGGAGCUCCCCCUGACAAGAGGAGCUAGAAGAUAGGGAAGUGAAUAAAUGCUCAGAUUCAAGGAAGGUAACAUCCAUGGAGGUAUAGAGUCGUUUUGUAGCUGGAUCAUAGCAUUAGUAUCCUUUCUUAUGAGCUGCAUACCCAAGAAAAACACAGCGGACAGCACAAGGGUCGAGCUUGGUUCGUUGGUUUUUGUGUAUAUGAACAUAUACAACACAACCAAAUGUUCUGGGCGGAAGCAUGAGAACUGACGGUAGGAUCACAUGGUGGCCUAGAACUUGAAGCGGGGUCUUAUAGUCCAGAACUCUUAAUGGCAGUCUAUUCAGCAAGUAUACUGCAGUCACCACUGCAUCAGUUCAGAACCGUUUGGGCACAUUAGCAGCUGUCAAGAGAGCUCUAGUGAUCUCCAAGAUAUGUCGGUUUUUACGUUCAGCAACACCAUUCUGUUGUGGCGUUUGUGGACAAGAUGUCUCAUGAUGCAUACCAUGUUCCUGAAAGUAUCGGUGGAAUUGUUUGUUAUCAUAUUCCCCACCAUUAUCGGAUCAUAGAAUCUGUAGUGUUGCAGAAAAUUGUGUUUGAAUCAUAUUAUGGAAUGAGCGAAAUAUGUCAAACACUUUAUAUUUCGUUUUCAUCACAUACAACCAAGUCAUUCGUGUACAAUCGUCAACAAAUGUGACAAACCAGCGAGCUCCAGAAGAGAUAGUAAUCGGGGCAGGGCCCCAAACAUCAGUAUGAACAAUUGCAAAUGGAGUGGCACUCUGAUUUAAACUUAUUGGGUACGAUACACAAUGACUCUUAGCUUUAAUACAAGUUUCACACUGAAAAUCUGCUUCACGAAAUUUCGUGAAUAGUUCUGGAAAUAAACAGCGUAAAUACCGAAAUGAGGGGUGUCCCAACCGAUUAUGCCAUAACCAAAUCUGCUGUUCCUUAUUGUCGACGAUGUGUAUGUUAUUUGCUCGACCACAGCUGAAGUCAUCCAUGUAAUACAACCUUUCCCUCUUAGUACCACGACCAAUAAUCUCCUUGGUGAGAAUAUCCUGAAACAAGCAAAAACUAGGAUACAUUAGUGCACAACAUUGUAAUUCCUCAGUCACUUGUCCUACAGAUAACAACUUAUUGGACAGUGAUGGAACUAGCAGGGUAUGUGGUAAUGAGAAAGAAGGAGAAAGUGCAACUGUUCCAACCCCAGUCACUGGAUAUGUCACUCUAUUAGCAUUAGCAAUGCAUAGCCGUUUUGGUUGAGUGGUGUCAGACAAAUCACAGGGAUCAUACGUCAUGUGGUCUGUUGCUCCAGAGUCAAUAAUCCAGCCAUCAUGAUCAUGUCUUCUCUUCUAAGAGCAAAAAACAUAACCUUGAUUACCUGGGUCAUUCUGAUCAGUCUGUUCUUUAGCCGAGAUAGGAGAUUCUUGUGCAGGUACAAGUGAUAGUGUAGGUUCCAUGCUUAUAAGGGCUGCACGACCAGGAUGUUCACUACGCCUGGCUUCUGGUUUUUUCUUCGCCUUGAGUUCGUGCCACCAAUCUGGAUAACCAUGUAUUUUGAAACAUGUAUCUUUGGUGUGUUUUGUAUUUUCACAGUGUGUGCAACCUGCCCCUUCCCCAUGUGAUUUUGUAACUGGCCUUCCAUUCGCUGGCAUUAGAAAGGAUAAACGAUGUUGAGGUUUCUGUCCUCCCCUUGACAGCAUAGCACCUCCAGAUAUGACUUCUUCAUUUUUCAGCAUCACAGAUUGCCUUAGGUCUUCUCUCCUGACUUGCGCAUAGGCUUGUUCUACUGUUGGAAAUGGCUGCAUCUGGAGCACAUCUGCUCUAAUAUUGUCAAGUCUGUCAUCAAGCCCGUCUAAGAAUAUAUAGACUAUGUCCUCUUGCAAAAGUGAAUUAUAUUUCUGUAUGUCAGUAUUGCACUCCAUAGGGUUUGGAUGCCGGAAAUCAAUUUCUCUCCAUAAUCCCUGCAGAUUGUUGUAAUAUGUUUCAAUAGAUCCUCCUCCCUGUUUCAGCCUAGUAACUCUUUUUUUGAGUGUAUCAGUGCCAUCAAAGUAGGUUGUUGCAAUGUUAUCCCAAACAGCUUUGGCUGUUGAAAAUCUGAUGAAGUUGCUUAUAAGUUUUGGGUUCAUAGAGUUGAUCAGCCAUCCCUUCACCAUUGCAUUUUCAGUUCUCCACUUCCUGAAUGUUGGAUCUGUUUGCAGAGGUUGUGGAAGGUCUCUAUUUAUGUAUCCCAACUUGUCUUUUCUUGAGAUAUACAUGUCAACAAUUUGGACCAUAAUGCAUAAUUGUUGUCAUCUAACUUGAUUCCAAUCGGUGCAGCAGGUUCAUGGCUGGCAAGUUGUGUCAUCCCUGCUGUCAGAUCUGCAAGGAUUGAGUUCUCCCCUUCAUAAGUUUUCACCCCAGCAGAAGGGGUUUCCAUUCUUUUCCAGAAAAAAUUCUAUGGCCCUAGAAUCUCUGUUCUGAUACCAUGUUGAACUGAGAAAGAAUAUAUUUGAUUGUUAUUUCAGUAUAAAAAUAAGAGCAGAAGAGGCUCUUAUAUGUAUAGCCUAUACAGAGACUAAUAAGGAAAAACUCAUUACACUAGUCUAGGAAAUAAUCAUGGACGAUUUACAAUCAAGUAAGGCUAAUUAGAAAACUAAAUAUUCUAUAAUUCCUAUUCUGUGAUUUCCAUAUUUAUUCUUCACGUUAACAUUGUGCGUCCAUGGGAAGAACCUUUCAUUAAGCAGACUUAAAGAUAGAUGCUUCAGUUGUCCAUCACAUUAAUAAUUUAUUUUUUUGUGCUCUAAAACGGACUGGAAUAGAACAGGCAAAAGUUUGUUUCUGAUGAGAAAUAAUUUUUUUAUAUAAUAUCAAAGUUUUAUUAAUUAAGUGAUUAAUUAUAAGUUUAAAUUUUACAAUUUUUAUACUUGUACUAUAUAAUAAAAAUUAAACAUAAAGUAUUGAUGUUACAUGAAAAAAAAGAAGUGAUAAUUGCUUUAUCCGAGGAAUCUUUCAUAGUUGUAUUGCCUAGGCCACAUUGAUUUUUAUCCACAGUCUUACCACUACAUUAUAAUUAUAAACGAAACUAAAUAUAUAUAUAUAUAUAUAUAUAUUAUAGCUCCUUUGUCGCUUUACUGUUCAUGUCACUGCUUAUAGCCAUUGUUGUUUUUCUUGGUCCUUGAAACUUUUACCUAUUUUCGUUUUGGUCACAAAACUAUAUUAUUUUUCUUCAUUUACAUCCUUGCAAGUUCUAUUAACACGGUUCCGUUUGCUGUUAUCUACUUCGAUUUUCAUGUUCUCGCCUGUAUCAUAUAUCUUUAAAUAUUACUACAAUGAAUUAAAAAUCAAUUUUUCUAACCCUCCUACCCAUAAACCGAUCCUUGCCACAGGUUAAUCAUAUAAUCUCAUGCUCUUACCUACAGCUAAGCAUCGGCAGAACCAAAUAGUUGCUAUUAAGGUCAGUUCUCCACGUGCAUGUUCUUCCUUUUCAAGCUAAGCUGUUUUUUAGAAAGCUUCUAAUUUAGUUCAAGUCAAUAAAAGCUUAGCAGGUUGAUACAAAAGUUCAUGGCCAAGUAAAAGAUGUUUAUUUUGGAUGAAAUAAAUAUUCAUAUUGGAACAUAAUAUUCAUCUCUCAAAUCCCUAAUCCAGUUGGUAUAUUCAUGAUAAAAUCCAAAGGAUUGGUACUUUGGUGUUUGUGGGGCUGUUAUUUCAAAUCGCUAGCUUGUAAUUUACUGGAUCUAUUGCAAACAAUUCCCUCAGACGUCUAAAUAUCAAACCAACCAACCACCACCAUGCAUUUACUGAAUAUGAUAGUGGGAACUUAUUUAUCAAGAAUUAAAGCAGUAGUUGCUUAUGGAUAAUUAGCUCUUCCAUACAUUGAAAAACCGCAAUUUUUCAUGAUAAAAUCCAAAGGACUGGUACUUUGGUGUUUGUGGGGCUGGUAAAUGGAAGAACACGUGUUUGUGGGGCUGUUAUUUCAUUCAAGGUGCGUACUUUGGUGUGUAUCACGUGUUUGUUGCAUUGACUGAAUAUGAUAGUGGGAACUUAUUUAUCAAGAAUUAAAGCAGUAGUUGCUUAUGGAUAAUUAGCUCUUCCAUCCAGCAUUAAUUCUAUUAUCAAUUAUAGUUUAGUCAUAAAGUUUUUCGAGGAGAGAAAUAAAAAGGAAAAGGAAAAGGAAACAACCACUCCAUCUUUCCCUUCUUUCCAUGAAAAAAGCAAACACCCCAUUUUGAUUUUGAUUUUCAAUCAGGAUGAGUGAGAAAGAAAGAGAGGACAAGGGGGUAUUCUCUCUCUCUUUCCUUGCUUUUUCUAACGCGUGGACCCAGCAGUUGUUGCCACUUGCCACCAAAUUCCUUCCUCAAUAUUUACCAGUACUACACGCUUGAGAAAUUUCCUUGCUUUUUUUCCUCUUACGUACUGUUACCUUUUACCUUUUAUAAUUAUGAUUAUUGCAUUGCUAAUAAUUUAUUAUUAAUCAUCAAUAUUUAUUCUUGGUCAUCAAUAUUGAAUAAUGGCUUAUUUUCUAUUAUAAACUGUGUUUGAAAUAUAGGUUGAUGUUCUUAAAUAUUUUUUAAUGAUUUUAAUAUGUUGAUAGUAAAAAUAAAAAUAAAAAAACUGGUUUUGUUUUCCAAAAGAAAUUGACAGUCAAUUACUUGUUUACUAUGUUUUUAAGAACCAAAAUAAAUAAAUAAAGUUUUUUCUUUCCGUUUCCAAAUUUGGUAGCCCGAAAACCUCCUCAUCGCUGAGUAGGUUUUGUUUUAGUUUAAACGUGAUGGAGACGAUACUAAAAAUAACAACAAUAUAAAAAAAAUUGGUGUAAAUACCAUUUAUUUUUGCAUUUUAAAAAUAAUUUUUUAAAAAAUUAAAAAUAAAUUUUGUUUUUUAUUUUAAAAUAAUAUUUUUUUAAUAAUUUUAAAUUAUCUUAAUAUACUGAUAUUAAAAAUAAUUUUUAAAAGAUAAAGUUUUUAAAACAUAAAGUUUAGCCUGCAGAUCUUCCGCUGAUCCCAUCUCAUUGUUGUAUGCAUCCAAGCUAAGCCAAUUCAAGAAAGAAGAUUUGAAGAAUACCAGCAGCAGCAGGAGUAAUAAAUUAACAUAACAAACCAUCUAGGUGGUGGCCAGUAAUAAAAGCCUGAGACCAAGAGAUUUGUUUCUUUUGUGGUCUCAGAUUCGAGUUCUGUGAUUGCUCAUAUGAUUAUUACUGGAGGCUUACAUGGUCGUUAACUUCAGGGCCCGUGGGAUUAGUCGAGGUGCGCGCAAGCUGACCCGGACACCCACAUUAAACUAAAAAAAAAAAAUUAACAUAACAACAUUAUGGGAGAAGGAGGGAUGACCUCACUGCAAGGGCGGAGGCAUGUUAAAGGCUUGAGUGCGCUAUAAUUUAGAUCAAAACUUUAUUAAUAUAUUUUGAUUAGUUUUAUGUAAAAAAAUUUGUAAUUCUUGAUUGAAUUAUUAAAAAAAUUUAAAAUUUACCUGUAGCCUUCUAAUAUAAUAUUUUAACUUGGGUUAAAAUUUCAGAAUAUUUUGAGAAAUUCAGAAAUUUGAUGAAAAAUCAUAAUUUAGCCAGUUUUAUGUUAUUGAACGUAAUUUUCAAUCCAAUCAUCAGAUUGAACUGAAAUUUUACGAGGAAUCUUAAAAUAUAUUGAAUAAAAUAUAGUUAAAAUUUUAUGAUGAACAGAGCUUGAUAGUGCUAACAAAAAAAAAACCAUCAAAUAAAAACAAAUCAAGAAUAAAAUGAUUAUUUCCAUUAAAAAGUAAAAUAAAUUAACUCUUCCUUCAUUUUAUACGUUGCCAUCCUUGCAUUAGAGUACACUCCCACAUGCGUUGUGGCAGCGGUUUGCUCUGUUAUUGUUCUCAUUUCUCUUAUUGUUGAAAGAUCCUUGGGAAAGACAUUCCAAGGGUGCAGUGUUUCUUGUUCCCUUUCCCUUCUUUACAUGGCUUCCUCAAUGAAAAAGCAAGCACUAACGCACGUUCUCCACAAACUACCCCCUAUUUCGCCACUAUAUAAAUAUAUUAUGGAAAACAAGAUAAAAAGAAAUCUUUUGGUACAUAUAUAAAUAUAUUAUGGAAAUUAACAUGGUAUCAGAAUAUCUGUGAAGUAUUGCUGGGAAGUCAUAAUUUUUGACACGCCUAAUCACAGACUUUUUUGGGAAAAAAAAAGAAAAAAAGAAGCCAGGCUAUGAAAAUAGGUUUGUGGAAAUUUACAUCAUUUGAUCUUGACAGUAUCAGAUUAGACAAUUGCAUGGAAAUGGUCUUCUUAGUUUGCCGUGUGGAAAAUCAUGUCAUUUACGGGACUGCUGGAGAGAGUGUCUAAUGAUAAUUUUACCUUCUUUUAAAAUCUUUGACACUACUUGCAUUGACUGGAAAUUUCGCUCGAAAAUUUCUAGUAAUUUAUAAAGGAAAUUUCUACUGUAUAUGAAUUGAAAAACUAUUAUUGACUGACUUCUUGCAAAGUAUUCGCAAGAAAGCUAAAGAAUUAAAGUUUUUAAUUUUUAAAAUUAUAAUUUAAAAUUGUAAGAAAAAAAUCAAUUGUUUUAAAAAUAAAAAAUCAACUAUUUAUAUAAUAGCUAAAUCUAUUAAGAUAAAUCGAAAAUAACUAGUAAAAUCAAUGACUUGUAUUGACGAGUGUGUCUAUAUAUACAUAUAGGAACUGCUGAUUCGAUUUGAAUAUGUUAUUUGAUUAGUCUAAUUCAUGAUUUGCAUUGACUCAAAAUUACCACUAGAAAUUCCUAGUUUCGUGGUGCUUUCUCAGCCUGCAAAUGAAUAUAAAGCAUAUCCUUUUAUCCUAUAUAAAGAAUACAAUGAACCUUUUUAUCUUUUAUAAUUAUAAUUAUUGCAUUGCUAAUAAUUUGCACGAAAGAAUAUUCUUUCUCUGAAAAGGCCUUGAGAAAACCCUAAGCAUAGUAUAUAAUCUCUUAUAGGAAUCUCUUUAUUAAAUCAUCAAAAUAUCAAAGUCUGUUUCCAAAGACUAUGACUACAGUUUAUAUAUAGAAACAACCAAAUAUAAAAAUUAUUAUUUUUUAAAUAGAAAAACCAGAGAGCUUGAUAAUAUUUAAUAAAAUAAAAUAAAAUAGAAAAAUUAUUCCUUUUUAGGUAGAAAAAAAUUAUAAAGAUUUAAUAAUACUAAAUAAGAAAAAUUAAAAUUUCUACACUAAAUUAAAAAAACAAAAAAAAACUGAGAAAAUAUUUAUUAUCCCAAUAGUUCUUAUAUUAAAAUCUCAUUUAUCAUAUGUUAUAUCUAUCAAAAUAAUAAUAAUAAUAACUUGUGACGUGAACUAAAGCUAUAUGCGAAAACUAGAAAAACCCGGUAGAGACCGGUUCUGUUUUUUCAAAUAUGUUUUUUCUUCUAGCUAGAGACCCCUUUUUUUUAUAUAUUUUUCUAUUGGUUAGUAAACUAUUUCAAAGUUUAUUAUAUAAAUACUAGAAGAAUAUUUUAUUUUUUCAAUAUGGAAUAAAAAAAAUUAUUUUUGUUUAAAUACCUCAAUUUAAAAGAAUUAGAUAAUAUCUUUUUAAUAUGAGAUAAAAAAAACCUUUUAAAAUAAUCUUUUAAACUUUAUUAUAUGCAACAUGUAUAAUCUAUAUUCAUAUGAAUUGUUUCUUUAAUUUUUUUCAUAUGAAAUAUUAAAAAUCAAAUAUUUUUUUUUUAAUUUUUUCGGGUUAAUUUAGAUCAAUCUGUGUAACCCAAGACUCUGUUUUUUAGUCGGGUCAAAUUCAGCUUGGGUUCCAUAACUAUCAGUAAAUUUAUUGAAAAAAACGUAAUUUUUUUGCUUUUAUAAAAAUGAAAGGCAAAGAAUUAAAUUAGGACAUAUAUCACUAAUUAUUUACAUACUCUUAUUACAAACACAAAAUUUUAUGUCACUUCAUGAUAUCCAUGUUUUCAACGCUUUACACUGGUUUAAUAAAUUGUUACAGUAAUAUCACAGAGAGGAACGGUUCAUGAAAAAACAAUAAUGGAGUUGAAGCAGAAUCUCUGUUUGAUUUUUCUUUUUUGUGUUUUCGGUACACUGGUCAACAAUAGCUUGGAAGAGUUUGGAAUCAGUAACACAUGGACCCAGUUAUUGUGGAAACUUUGCAGAGGAUCUGCACUCUGCAGGAAGAAAAUGAUUUUAAUAGAUGUACUGUACAUCAUUUGAAUUUAUUAAAAGUAACGUGUAAUGUAAAGUAUGUACUGUACACCUGCUUUCAACGUUUUACACUGCUUUAGUCGUCCAAAAAAAAAAAAAAACCAUUAGAUGCUAUAAAACAAGAUAUAUACAAUUUAAUUUGAGAGUGUAAUAGAUAUUAUAUUUCAAAAUAUUUUUGAAAUAUAUUAAAAUAUUAAUUUUUAAAAAAAUAAUUUUAAUAUCAUAUAUUAGAACAAUAAAUAAUAAUUAUAAUUUAAAAAAAUAAAAAAUUUUAAAAUCUUUAAAAAAAUAAUAAUUUUACUGGACUCCAAAACACACCCAUGCUCCCUCAGCAACCACCACGAAAUUACCGCUCUAUAUUACAGCUCAAUAAUUUAUUUUAGCAAUUAUUGCUUGCUCAUUCACAAUUAUUGCUUUGCUAAUAAUUUGCAAGAAACUUUCUCAAUUUCCUUCUAUUUUCUUUUUAUUAUGGAAACUUUAAGUCACAUGUGCGCCUACCACGAAAUUACCGAUAAGUAAAUUUCAAUGCGUAAUUGUGUAGGUUUCAAUUAAAAAUGCUUUAAUUUGAAAAAUUAUGUUAACAAUAAUAUAAAUUAAUUUUUCUUCAUAAAAAAAGUAAUUGAGUAUUAAUUUAGGCUAUAAAAAUAAAAUAAUAAUAAAAAAAGAGUUCGAGGGUAUUCAUUUUAUUUCAUUUUACUAUAUAAUCUAAUUUGUUGAUGUGGAAAAUAGCAUAAAGUUUUUGACAUGGCUAUUGGUGAGAAGCAAAAGCAGUAGCAGUCCAUCGUUAUACUAAAGGUCAGUUUUUCACUCUGUGUGAAUUUACAGUAAAAGCUUGAUUUUGAAAGUGAGAUGAAAUUGGAAUAUUUUGAUUGAAAUUUAAUUAAAAAUUCAGAACAGAGUGAGAUUUGAAAUGAGACAAAAAAUCAUUCUGUUUUUUAAAUUUAUAUGAAAUUUUUUAGCUAUUCCAGACAGACAAAAUGGAAUGGAAUUGAGAACCUUGGAUGCAAUAUGCUUUUUAAUUAAAGAUAUAUUUAAAUAAUAAUUUUUAAAAAAAAUUAUUUUUUUUAUUUUAGUACAUUAAAAAUAAAAAAUAUUUAAAAAUAGUAAUUUAAUAUUUUCUUAAAAAAAUAUUUAAAAAACACUUUUAAAUUUUUUUGAACUGUACUAUUCCUUGAAAAAACUCAAACUCUAAAUAACAUCUACUAUUUUCAGAAUAUCUGUAAGAGAUUGCUGGGAAGACAUAACGUUUUGCCUAAUCAGUCUCUUUUGGAAAUUUAUACCAUUUGAUUUUGACAGUAUCAGAUUAGACAAUUGCAUGGAAAUGGUCUUCUUAGUUUACCGUGUGAAAAAUCAAUAUUAUUGUCCGGGAGGGAAGUAAGGUUUUUUUUUUAAAAAAAAUUAUUUAAAAAUAUAUUAAAAUAAUUUUUAAAAUCAAAAUGAUUUAAAAAUACUUAAAAAAAAUCUAAGACUAAAAAUUAAUCUAAAUGUUUUUGAAAAAUAAUUCAACCAAAGUGCCAAAUAUGAUCAAUAUCGAUUAUCUUUUAUGUAAGAUUAUCUUUUAUCUUUGACAAUUAUUGCAUUGCUAAUAAUUUGCAAGAAAACAUACUUUCUCAAUUUCCUUUUUUAUUAUGUUAGUAGAUGCUAGAUGCUGUUUAUUUUUGUGUUUUAAAAAUAUUUUUAAAAAAAUUUAAGAUUUUAAAUUAAUAUUUUUAGAUAUUUUAAGGUGCUGAUUUUAAAAAUAAUUUAAUUAUUUUUUUUAAAAAAAAAUCAUGACACGGGUAUAAAAAAAAAAUUAUGGUAGAUAUAGCCUCAUCUUCUCUGCUUGUAAAAUUGGAGCAGAUUAUGGACUUAAGCGAGCAAUUACCGCUCGAAAUUCCUAGUAAUUUACGAAGGAAUUUUCCUUGUUGUUUCUCUGUACAGUAUUAGAAAAAUUGUCAUUGACUGAUUUAAUUGCAAAGUCUCUGUAAGAAAGCUUAAAGAAUUAGAGCUUUUUAAAAUAAAAAAUAUAGAGAGAGAAAUAAAAAAUAAAAAUAAAAAAAGGAGCAAAAGGAAACAACCCCCAUCUUUCUUGUUCCCUUUCCCUUCUUUACAUGGCGUCCUCGAUGAAAAUAGCAAACGCCCCAUUUGAAUAUAUAAUUAAAGAAAGAAAGAAAGAGAGGAAAAUUUUUUUAGUGAAUUCAAAAGCCCUUCGCCCCGGAAAGAAAGUUUCUUUUAACAAAAUAAGGUUGUUGAGGCUUUUCUUGGAACCUCGCUCAGGGAUUAAUUAACAAGAAUUAAAAAAUCCCCUGCAAAUUACACAAAAUUUAUUAUUGAUCAUCAAUAUUGAAUAAUGGCUUAUUUUCUAGCAUAAACAAAAAUUGAUAAAAGAUAUUUAUUAUUGAUCAUCAAAUUGUGGUAGCUGUUGUGGUUGUGGAAAAAAUUAUUUUAUAAAAAAUAUUUUUAGUUGAGGUUGAUUUGAAAAAAUAGGUGUUUGGUUAAAACUGUGGUUGAAAUUGAAGUUGAAGAAAAAAUAGCUUAAUGUGUUUGGUUAAGAAUGCUUUUAAAAUUGAAGUUAUAAAAUAAUUUUUAAAAAAUAUAUUAAUACUGAUGAUUUUUAAUUUAAAUAUUAUGGAUUUAACUAUUGCUAUUAUAUCAUGAAAUAAAUCAUACUUUAUAUAAAAUAUUUUUUUAUUAUUCCAUGAAACCAUUUAUAAUUCCAUUACGUAUACAUCCGACAAAAACUACAGUUUUCAUAAUAUUUUUAGCAUAUAAUAAAAUUAGAUAAAAUAUUAUCAGGUAUAAAAUUCACUAUAAACUAGUUUUUUUAAAAAAAAAUGUUAAAAAAAUAACACACUAAAAAAAAUUAACACACUAAAAAAAAAAAGGUUCACGCAGGCAAAUGAACAUUGCAAGAGAAUUGCACUGUUCACUAUUUUUAAGUGAACAGUGCAAUUGUGUUGCACUGUUCACUUGAAUAGUGUACAUUACGUACUGUUCAUGUUAAUUGCACUGUUCAUUGAACGGUGCAAUUAACAUGAACCGUGAAAAAAAGAGUAAGAAAUGGCUGCUUUUCCUUUCCUGCGUUUCUAACAUAGAAAUUAAGUGAGGCCCAGUGAACAGUAAAUUAAUUUUUUCAUUAACCAAACAGCUGCGAACUGCGUUUUAAAUAAAACGCAGCCGCAGCUACAGAGCCAAACGGGCUCUAUAUUUUGGAGUGACGUAGAUAUUAUGUUUUAAAAUCCUUUUUAUUUAUAAAUGUAUUAACAUUUAUUUUUCAAAAUUUAUUUUUAAUAUUAAUAUAUCAAACUAAUAUAAAAAUAUUAAAAAAAUAAUUUAAAACAAUAAAACAUUCAGCAACCACUCUAAAUUCCAGCUCAAUAAUUUAUUCUUUAGCGAUUAUUGCUUGCUCUUUGACAAUUAUUGCAUUUCUAAUAAUUUGCAAGAAAACAUACUUUCUCAAUUUCCUUGAACUCAUUUGACCCAGCUAUCGAGUUAUUUUUUCCGCUCAUCUUUUUUUCCCACAAACUCACCAAGACAGCACCGGAUUAUUUUAACUCAGUGAUCCUUCCAGGUAGGCCCAGGCCACAUUGAUUGUGUUAAAAAAAAAAUCUAAUUCAGCUUAGUAUCAACUACAUUAUAAUUAUUUAGGAGGAUAGUUGAACCAUACUUUUUAAAAAAAUUAAUUUUUUUUUAUAAUUAUACGCCAUCAGCAACUACCUCGAAAUUACCACUCCAAAUUCCAGCUCAAUAUCGAUCAACAUGCGGCUAAAAUUGAUAAAAGACACAUAAUGAUGGUAUUGUAUAUUUUGAGACUAAAUUGAGGUUUUUUAAUUAUUACUUUAAAAUAUAUCAUGGUUUUAAUAGUUGGACGGUAUAUUAUAUAAAUUAUUAAAAAAUAUUUAUUUUUAUUAUAUAUGUAGUAAUAAUAAAUUAGAUGAUAAUAACAAAAAAUAGAAAUUAUUUUGAAUAAAUAGUACCAGUUCCUAUUAUGAUAUGUAUAGAGAAGAAGUUGGAAGAAUAAAAUGAAGUCAAAUAUUCUUAAUAAAAAAAACACAGAAAUAGUUAAAAUAUGUUUUUAAUAAAUAUAAAAGAUGGAUGAAAAUAUUAGAAAACAUGAAAGAGAUACAUAAUCUCUUUGUAAGAUUUCUAAGAACUUAAUUACAAUUACAUUAUAAUUUCUUCCUUAAAAUUAUUCAAAAUAUAUAUUAUUCUAGGUUUUAAUGUAAUUAAAAAGGAAGUAUUUGUAAGUGUAAGAAUUUUUGACACGCCUAAUCACAGUUUUUUUUGGAAAAGAAAAGAAGCCAGGCUAUGAAAAUAGGUUUGUGGAAAUUUACGUCAUUUGAUUUUGACAAUUGCAUGGAAAUGGUCUUCUUAAUUUGCCGUGUAGAAAAUCAUGUCAUUUACGGGACUGCUGGAGAGAGUGUCUAUUGAUAAUUUUACCUUCUUUUCAAAUCUUUGACACUGCUUGCAUUGACUGGUAAUUUCGCUCGAAAAUUUCUAGUAAUUUAUAAAGGAAAUUUCUACUGUAUAAAUUGAAAAACUAUUAUUGACUGACUUCUUGCAAAGUAUUUGCAAGAAAGCUAAAAAAUUAAAAUUUUUAAAUUUUUAAAUUAUAAUUUAAAAUUGUAAGAAAAAAAUCAAUUGUCUUAAAAAUAAAAAAAUCAACUAUUUAUAUAAUAGCUAAAUCUAUUAAGAUAAAUCGAAAAUAACUAGUAAAAUCAAUGAUUGACGAGUGUGUCUAUAUAUACAUAUAGGAACUGCUGAUUCGAUUUGAAUAUGUUAUUUGAUUAGUCUAAUUCGUGAUUUGCAUUGACUCAAAAUUACCACUAGAAAUUCCUAGUUUCGUGGUGCUUUCUCGGCCUGCAAAUGAAUAUAAAGCAUAUCCUUUUAUCCUAUAUAAAGAAUACAAUUAACCUUUUUAUCUUUUAUAAUUAUAAUUAUUGCAUUGCUAAUAAUUUGCACGAAAGAAUAUUCUUUCUCUGAAAAGGCCUUGAGAAAACCCUAAGCAUAGUAUAUAAUCUCUUAUAGGAAUCUCUUUAUUAAAUCAUCAAAAUAUCAAAGUCUGUUUCCAAAGACUAUGACUACAGUUUAUAUAUAGAAACAACCAAUUAUAAAAAUUAUUAUUUUUUAAAUAGAAAAACCAGAGAGCUUGAUAAUAUUUAAUAAAAAUAAAAAAUAAAAAAUUAUUCCUUUUAAAGUAGAAAAAAUUAUAAAGAUUUUAAUAAUACUAAAUAAGAAAAAUUAAAAUUUCUAAACUAAAUUUAAAAAAACAAAAAAAACUGAGAAAAUAUUUAUUAUCCCAAUAGUUCUUAUAUUAAAAUCUCAUUUAUCAUAUGUUAUACCUAUCAAAAUAAUAAUAAUAAUAAUUUGUGAUGUGAACUAAAGCUAUAUGCGAAACCUAGAAAAACCCGGUAGAGACCCGUUUUGUUUUUUCAAAUAUUUUUUUUCUUCUAGCUAAAGAUCAUUUUUUUUUAUAUAUUUUUCUAUUGGUUACUAACUCAUUUCAAAGUUCACUAUAUAAAUACUAGAAGAAUAUUUUAUUUUUUUGAUGUGGAAUUAAAAAAAAUUCUUUUGAUUUAAAUACUUCAAUUUAAAACAAUAAGAUAAUAUCUUUUUAAUAUGAGAUAAAAAAACCUUUUGAAAUAAUCUUUUAAACUUUAUUAUAUGCAACAUGUAUAACCUAUAUUCAUAUGAAUUGUUUCUUUAAUUUUUUUCAUAUGAAAUAUUAAAAAUCAAAUAUUUUUAUUUUUAUUUUUCUGGGUUGACCUGGAUCAAUUUAUGUAAUCCAAGACUCUAUUUUUUAGUCUGGUCAAUUUUAAGUUGGGUUCGAUAAUAAUGAUUAAAUUUAUUGAAAAAAACAUAAUUUUUUUUUUGUUUCUAUAAAAAUCAAAGGUAAAGAAUUAAAUGAUGACAUAUAUCACUAAUUAUUGACAUACUCUUAUUACGAACACAAUAUGAUACCCAUGUUUUCAACGCUUUACACUGCUUUAAUAAAUUGUUACAGUAAUAGCACAAAGAGGAACGGUUCAAGAAAAAACAAUAAUGGAGUUGAAGCAAAAUCUCUGUUUGAUUUUUUCUUUUUUGUGUUUUCGGUACAUUGGUCAACAAUAGCUUGGAAGAGUUUGGUAUCAGUGACACGUGGACCCAGUUGUGGUGGAAGGAAGAAAAAUGAUUUUAAUAGAUGUACUGUAUAUCAUUUGAAUUUAUUAGAAGUAACAAGAUAUAUACAAUAAGAUGCACUGAGGGUAUUGGCCUGGGAUACGAGGGGCUUGUCUUCUCUUGUUGCUUCUGGAUUCGAGUUUUUAUGUGUAUGUCUGUCAUUUUUACGGUGUCUUAUAUGUUCAUUGAGUUUGCAGGGUGUUCAGUGGGUCGUGGAAUUAGUCGUGGUGCGCGCAAGCUGACUCGGACACCCACGUAAAUAAAAAAAAAAAAAAUAUAUAUACAAUAAGAUGCUAUAUUAAAAUAUUAGAUGCUAUUUUUCGAUCUUAGAAGUAACAUGAUUUUAAUAUACACCUUCUUUCAACGUUUUACACUGCUUUAGUCGUCAAAAAAAAAAAAAAGACUAUUAGAUGCUAUAAAACAAGAUAUAUACAAUUUAGUUUGAGAGUCUAAUAGAUAUUAUAUUUCAAAAUAUUUUAGAAAUAUAUUAAAAUAUUAGUUUUUUUAAAAAAAUUAUUUAAUAUCAUAUAUUAGAACAAUAAAAAAUAAUAAUAAUUUAAAACAAUAAAAAAUUUCAAAAUCUUUUAAAAAUAUAAUUUUACUGGACUCCAAAACACACCCAUGCUUCCUCAGCAACCACCACGAAAUUACUACUCUAAAUUACAGCUCAAUAAUUUAUUCUAGUUAUUAUUGCUUGCUCUUUGACAAUUAUUGCUUUGCUAAUAAUUUGCAAGAAACUUUCUCAAUUUCCUUCUAUUUUCUUUUUAUCAUGGAAACUUUAAGUCACAUAAUAUAUGGCUGAUUUUAUAUGAAUAUAUUAUUUGAUUAGUGUUGACUCUACUAUUGCUGCAUUGACUGGAAAUUUCAGUAUUCAAUAUCCUAUAUCAUUCUACGUUCAUAACGAUAACUCUUUGUUAUAUUUAACUUACACUGCAGCUAACUUCUCUGUCCCAUUGCAGCCAUUUCAUAGCUAACUCUUUGUUAUAUUUAACUUGCUCUUCUUUGCUUCUUUGCUUCUUGCUCAUAACGAUAACAAGAAAGCCUUACGUUCAGAUAGAUAAUCAUUGACCAGUUCAUCCUAUACCAUUCAAUUUAAUUUAGAAAUGCUGAAAGAAAAACGCAAGCAAUCCAAAGAUGAAGACAACGAUUCAUCCUCGCGAAAGAGAAGAAAAGCUGACCUCAGUAAGCCUGUCAGUUUUGUCUCCACAGGUAAGGCAGAUGCGUGAGUCUAUACAUGUAGGAACUGCUGAUUCGAUUAGAAUAUGUUAUUUGCUUAGUCUGAUCAUAGGAUAGGUUGAGUCUACUACUAUUUCUGCCUUGCUUUGACUCGAAAUUACUGGUGUUUUCUCCUGCAAAUGAAUAGAAAUCACAUCCUUUCUCUUUCUCCUAUACAAAGAAUACAAUUAACCUCAUUUCAAUAUCAUAGCUUUGGAAUUUCAUAGCUAACUCUUUGUUAUGUUGCUCCAUUGGUAAUUGAUUGUGCCUUAAUUUCUGCAGCUACCAGGACAGAGCCAGAGUCUUCUCGAUCUAGACCAGAAGGGGCCUAUGAUGUCUUCUUGAGUUUUAGAGGAGAAGACACUCGCAAGACAUUUACAGAUCAUCUAUAUACUGCCUUAGUCCAAGCAGGAAUCCGCGCUUUUCGAGAUGAUGAUGACCUUCCAAGAGGAGAAGAAAUCUCCGAUCAUCUCCUCAGGGCAAUUCAAGAAUCAAAGAUAUCCAUAGUUGUCUUCUCAAAAGGAUAUGCUUCUUCUAGAUGGUGUCUCAAUGAACUUGUAGAGAUUCUUGAGUGCAAAAAGAGGAAAACCGGUCAGAUUGUUCUUCCUAUAUUCUAUGACAUUGAUCCUUCAGAUGUGAGAAAACAGACUGGCAGUUUUGCAAAGGCAUUUGAUAAGCAUGAAAAGCGUUUUGAAGAGAAGUUGGUGAAGGAGUGGAGAAAAGCUCUUGAGGAUGCCGCAAACCUAUCUGGACGGAGUCUCAAUAAUAUGGCAAAUGGGUAUUCCUUCUCUCUCUAAGAUUCACUUGCACACGUUUAUGGAGUAAUUUUACAUUACAUUUUUCAAUGUGAAGUAAUAAAAUAUUUCUUUUUAGCAUACUUAAUUGAGUCGCUAUCAAUGACUUGCUUUUGUCUAUGAGCAGGCAUGAAGCAAAAUUUAUCAAGAAGAUUAUCAAGGAUGUGUUGAAUAAAUUAGAUCCCAAGUACUUAUAUGUUCCUGAGCACCUAGUAGGUAUGGAUAAACUUGCUCAUGAUAUUUUUGACUUUCUAAGCACUGCAACAGAUGAUGUACGCAUUGCGGGCAUACAUGGGAUGCCAGGAAUAGGAAAGACGACUAUAGCAAAAGUUGUAUUUAAACAACUCUGCGAUAGAUUCGAGGACAGCUGUUUUCUUUCGAAUAUCAAUAUUGAAACACCAAAAAAACUUACAGGUCUUGUUGGUUUUCAAACGCAACUUCUUCGUGAAAUUUUAAAACAAGGUGUUCCAAACUUCGAAUGUGUUGAUAGAGGAAAGGUUUUGAUCAAAGAACGACUUCGUGGCAAAAGAGUUCUUGUUGUUGCUGAUGAUGUGGCUCAUCUGGACCAGCUAAAAGCUUUGAUGGGAGAGCGAAGCUGGUUUGGUCUCGGAAGUAGAGUAAUUAUUACAACAAGAGAUUCAAAUCUUCUUCGUGAAGCAGAUCGAACAUAUCAGAUCGAAGAAUUGAAACCAGACGAGUCCCUUCAGCUUUUCAGCUGGCACGCCUUUAAGGACUCCAAGCCAGCAAAAGAUUAUAUUAAGCUUUCGAAGGAUGCAGUUGAUUACUGUGGAGGACUUCCUUUAGCUCUUGAGGUUAUGGGUGCUUGUCUGUCUGGGAAAAACAGAGAUGGUUGGAAAUGUGUAAUUGAAAAAUUGAGAAGAAUUCCAAACCACGAUAUUCAAGGAAGGCUUAGAAUAAGUUUUGACGCACUGGACGGUGAAGAACUACAAAAUGCAUUCCUUGACAUCGCUUGCUUCUUUAUUGAUAGAAAGAAAGAGUACGUCGCAAAAGUGCUAGGAGCCCGUUGCGGUUACAAUCCAGAAGUUGAUUUGCAAACUCUCCAUGAAAGGUCUCUGAUUAAAGUAUUGGGAGAGACGGUAACCAUGCAUGAUCUAUUACGAGACAUGGGAAGGGAGGUCGUUCGUGAUAAGUUUCCAAAAGAACCUGGAAAGAGGACCAGAAUUUGGAAUCAAGAGGAUGCAUGGAAUGUACUUGAGCAGCAGAAGGUAAGAGCUCAAUGCAUACAUGAAAGCAUAGUCAUUCGUAUUUUCUAGUCAAACUUAUUUCACAUAAUUGAAUGAAAGUUGUAUUGUUUUUUUUUUAGGGUACGGUUGUUGUAGAGGGUCUUGCACUGGAUGUCAGAGCAUCAGAAGCUAAAGCACUUUGCGCAGGAUCAUUUGCAGAAAUGAAACGCUUAAAUUUACUCCAAAUCAAUGGAGUACAUCUCACCGGAUCCUUCAAACUGCUUUCUAAAGAGUUGAUGUGGAUUUGUUGGCAUAGAUGUCCUUUGAAAGAUUUUCCAUCUGAUUUUACCGCAGACUAUCUAGCUGUUCUUGAUAUGCAGUACAGUAACCUCAAAGAACUAUGGAAGGGAAAAAAGGUGCGAAACAUGCUACAAUCCCCGAAAUUUCUCCUGUAUGUAAUUUAUAUUGACAUCUUAUGACUUUCUAUGAUUAAUUUUCAUUAUUUUACCCUCUAUUAUGACAGAUCCUCAACAGGCUAAAAAUCUUUAAUCUUAGUCAUUCUCGGAACCUUGUUAAAACACCAAACUUGCACAGUUCAAGUCUAGAGAAACUAAUUCUGAAAGGUUGCUCAAGUUUAGUUGAGGUGCAUCAAUCAAUUGGACAUUCGACGAGCCUCGUUUUCUUGAAUCUCAAGGGAUGUUGGAGUCUGAAGACUCUCCCUGAAAGCAUUAGGAAUGUAAAGUCUCUUGAAACUAUGAAAAUUUAUGGGUGUUCACAACUUGAGAAAUUGCCAGAAGGCAUGGGUGAUAUGAAAUUCUUAACUGAGCUAUUAGCUGAUGGGAUUAAAACUGAGCAAUUUCUCUCUUCAAUUGGGCAAUUAAAGUAUGUCAAAAGGUUAUCAUUACGUGGAUGCAGUCCGACUCCACCAAGUUGUUCUUUGAUUUCAGCAGGUGUUUCAAUUUUGAAAUGUUGGCUGCCAACAUCAUUCACUGAAUGGAGAUUAGUGAAACAUCUUAUGCUUUCUAAUUGUGGUUUGUCUGAUCGUGCAACUAACUGUGUUGAUUUUAGUGGUUUGUUCUCUCUAGAAAAAUUGGAUCUAAGUGAAAACAAAUUCUCUAGCCUGCCUUAUGGGAUCGGCUUCCUUCCCAAGCUAUCGCACUUGGUUGUUCAGACAUGUGAAUAUCUUGUAUCAAUCCCAGAUCUUCCCUCAAGUUUAUGCCUUUUGGAUGCAUCUUCUUGCAAAUCAUUGGAAAGAGUAAGAAUACCAAUCGAGUCAAAAAAAGAACUAUGUGUAAAUAUAUUUCAAAGUCUUUCGUUAGAAGAGAUUCAGGGCAUCGAAGGUCUAAAUAAUAGUUUCUGGAAUGUUAGUAUUGAAAGACGCAGUCAUUCACCAAAUAAAUUACAGAAGAGCGUUCUAGAGGUACUAUUUCUUUCAAUCUCUCUUGCAUAAGAAGAAACACACACAAUUGGCACAUAUUGAUUAAUGUCUAAAAUCGCAGCAUUCCUUGAAAUUAAUAUGUAUACAGGCAGUUAUUAUUAUUAUUAUUAUUAUUAUAUUUUAAAAAAUAAAUAUCAUCUUUAAUAAUAUUUUCUUAUUUUUCUUAUUUAAUCUAAAAAAUUAAAUAUUAUCUUUAAUAAUAUUUUUUAUUAAAUAUUUAAGUCUUUGGUUUUCUUUUUUAUUUCUUGAUUUUAUGAUAAUAUAUUUAUACAGGCAAUGUGCAACCGUGGUCACGGGUAUCGUAUUAACUUCAGUCUAGAACAUGAUGAACUACAUGAGAUGCCAGAUUGGAUGAGCUACAGGGGAGAAGGAUGCUCAUUGUCAUUCCAUAUACCUCCAGUCUUCCAUGGCUUAGUUCUUUGGUUAGAGAAGGGUACUCAUAUGUACACAUACACUAACAUUAUUAUUAUUAUAAGAAAUAAAAGCAACGGAAGAAUAUUGUUUAAAGAUAAACGAGCACAGAUAGGAAUACAUAUAUUUAUGCAGGGAUGGUUAAGAUACAUAAGUAGAAGUGAAAUGGCAAUGGAAGAUUACUGUGGAGACGAAUUGGAACUAUACAUUUCUUCAGAGCCAACAGACUAUGCACUGCGCAAGGGUAAAUCAUUGAAACCAAGCGUUAAAGAAUGUGGGGUCCAUGUGAUCGCAGGGAAGUCAGAUUCAUUAAAAAAGUCGGCAGUGGAAAGAGAUACAGUGAUGCUUUCACCACCGCUGUAUCAUCUGCUUCCUCAUCCUCAUCGUGGUUCAAUUACAACGUCUACACCUAAGCAAUGGUGUGACUUUUUACUUGCGGAGCUGCAAAACCAUAGCCUCGGUUUAUUGCUUCUUGGUAAGAACAAAUAUUUCCUUUAGUUAUUUUUAUUCUAUUCUAUUUAAUUUAUGAGAUUAAAUAUUAUCUUUAAUUAUUUCAUUAUUACUAUUUAAUAUAAAAAAUUAAAUAUCAUUUUUAAUAAUAAAAAAUUAAAUAUUUAAGGCUUUUUGGUAAGAAUACAUAUUUCCUUUAGUUAUUUCUAUUUUAUUCUAUUUGAUGGGAAUUUGUUCGUAAUAACAAAAUGCACAUGUUUAACUUUCUUUUCAAACUUGGAAGUUUUAUUGAAUUUGAUGGCUUUUGAAGGUAGAGAAGACUUGGAGUGAAGAGUACAAGAUCAUUUUAUAUAGAGAUGCUUGAAGUUACUUCAAAUUAGUACGGUACUUCUAUCUGAUGUAUUGAUAUGUAUUUGUUUGUUUGAAGAUUAUUUUCCAAGCUUGGAAGUUUUAUUGAAUACUCUUUGAAAUCUUUUCCAUCCGCUUUUAUAUUUUUAUAUUGGACAACCUAGUUGUUAAUUAUUAUCCAUGAUGUAAUUUAUAUUUUCAAGUUAUAAAUUUUGAUGAAUAUUGUUUCAUUUUUUUCCUCAUUUCAAAAGUUGAAAAUCCUUAUUUUAGUUAGAAAUAAAUUGGUUUUCUAGGAAGAGAUUAUUGAUUGGAAACAAGAGCAAAAGAAAAAAGCAAACACCCCAUUCGAUUUUCAUUCAGUAUAAGAGUGAGAAAGAGAGACGCCAAGGUGGUUCUCGAAUAUUUUGUUCUUUUUUGUCUCGCUCACUGGGGUAAAUACUUCAUCAUUUAAUGUUAUAAUUUAAAAUAAUUGAUGAAAAAGAAUUUUAUUCAAUCCCAAUCCCAAUCCCACAUUGUCUGUAGAAGUAUUUACUUUUGACUGUACACUUUGUUAUUUUCCAAUCCCUCCCCAGUUCUGCAACCAUUUCUCUACUUUCUAUGCUCUUGGCUUGCUAAAAACUAAAGAAAACACAUUGCUCUAGUUGCCUGCCUUCACUCUUCAGAUUGCUCAACAAAUCCCUUGAGACCUUCUCCAUAGUUAACACAUCACAUAAUGGCUACUCUAAAAAAUUUAGCCAUAAACAUUGAACACCUUAAGCAAUCAACGUGCCUUCCUUCACAAUAUGCAUCACCCAUAAAUCUUUCUUUUGGGAUGUCGCCGGGAGUUUAAAUUUCCGAGUGUAAAAAUUACUCAAUGAAAAAGCGAGCACUAACGCACCUUCUCCACAAACUAC